UGCCUCCACCUCGAUCUCGAGGGCGUCGUGCGCGGCUACCAGCACCGGCAAGCUCACCUGCCUCUGCUCGCCGACCAACCACCCGGGCUCCUUCCGCUGCACCCGCCACCGCAACCCGCGGGGGCGACGGCAGACAUCGUUGUCCGGCCGCGCGUCGCAGCAGCCUGCUGCACCGGGAGCCAGCACGACGGUGCGCGUCAAGGGGAUCAUCAGGAGCGGCAGUCUCGGCACCGGCAUCGGCGGCGGCAGGACCACCAAGGAUCGGUCCGUCCUGCGCACGCACCUGCUGCGGCUGGUCAGCACGCCGUCCUCCGCCGGCCGCGACCACCGUCGCUGCUGGUGUUGGAAGGGAGAGAGGGAUUUGGAGGAAUAGUUCGUUGUAUUGCUUGAGCCUCGUGGGCAUAUAUAUAGAAGUACAAUCAUCUACUUGGAGUACAAGACAAGCCAGAACAAAUCCUAGUCUAUCUCGUCUUUCCUAAUAAACAUUAUACUCAACAUUCCCCUACAGUCACAACGGUAGCGACGCAGGCGGUGAGACUGGAGAAAAAUUCGAAGGCAAGCCGACGGACACCCCCCACAGUCGUAACGGUCGACGAGUCGUGGCUGGAGUGGCAACCGACGAGGUUUCUCAAGCAAGGGAUAGCCCUUUGUGCCAUUUGUCGAGGUAGCCGAGAGCAUGGGUGGUGGAGCCGUGGUCGAGGUAGCCAUGCGAAGAAUGUCGUGGUCGAUGUCGAGUCGGGGUAGCCGGUGUCGAGAAAGUCGUCGUGGAGCCGCGGGCCCAAGGAGGCGCCGAGUUAGUCGUGGACGCAGUGGUGUCGAAGUAGUGGUGCGCCAGGAAGGAGAUGAUGUUGACGACGCGUCGCGUCGGGGUUGCCAACCCCGGGAACACAUCAUAGAUGAAGGCACGCGUCGGUGUUGCCAGCACCGGGCAUGCGUAGACGGACGAAGACGAAGUUGACGAAGCGCCGCACCAGGCUUGGCAGGCCCGGGGACACGUCGUGGAUGAAGGCACGCAACGGUGUUGCCAGCACCAGGCAUGCGUAGACUGGGACCUACACGAGCUGUACGACAUGUCGAGGAAGUUUGAGAGGCCAGCACAGAAGGACUCGACGACGGUUGCGGCCCCAAUCGGCAUGGGGCCAAUGUCGCCCGCGGUUGUCGGACUAGAUGAAGCGGUCGGGGUAGAUGACGGCGACGCUGGCGACGGGCUGGUGCUGGACGAAGAUGAAGGGGGUGGACGGGUGGCUGCGGCGGAGAGGUAGCGGCGGCGGCGUCCAAAGAAGAGCGACGGCAGCGGCCUGACGGCGGCGGCGGCGGCUAGGUUAAAAGUGCGGCGGCGGUGCUCGAAGUAGGCGAAGAACCCUGACAGCCUGAUGCAGACCGGCACGGACGGUGGCGUUCCCGCGUCAAGGGAGACGGCGCGACGCAUACCAUGGGAGGUCGACGCGCGGUGACGGCGGUGUGGACCGUGGGCCGCGACGCUAUGGCCCGAAGGGGCGACACAGCGACGACAGGUGGGUCGAGGCGACAGCGGAAGACCUCGGGCGGUGGCGGGGUCCGCAGGCCGCGACGCUGUGGCCCGAAGGAGCGAUGCAACGGCGGUUCGCGAGUCGGUGCAACCGCGGGGACGUACUCGAGGCGGCGGCGGGGACCGCGUAUCGCGGCACUAUGGCCCGAAGGGGCGACGCAGUGGCGACGCACAUGUCGAUGCAGCCGCGAGGAGAACCACGGGGCGGCGGCGCUGCGGCCCGAUGGGGCGACGCAGCGGCAGCUCGAUCCUCGAUCGGUGGAGAGGCGCGCGGUACUCAGGACGAUCUUCACGGGACCUGCGGAGGCGCGCGUCACCAACAGGCCAGGUUGGUCGCGCAGCGUAGAUGAGGCGGAUCGCGGCGGCAAGCGGGUGAUCAAGUCGAUCGCGCGGGAGGACGGGGACGCCGCUCGAUGGAGGCGUGGUGGCGGCGGAGUCCUGGAUGAGGCCGACGACGACGGACGGCGUGGGACGUCAGCACCAGCACCCGGGCUGCCAAAGCAGCAGCGGCGCCCGGGCAGCGAGGCCCGAGCGACCAACGGAGCAGUGGCGCCCGAGUUUGAGGCAGCCGACGAGCCUGACAGCCGAGGACGAGGCUGGCGAGGUAGACCGCCGAGCCGCCGUGCAGACGCGGCGAAGGCGGGUGACGUGGAUCGAUCGGCGGGCCGGCGCGCGAGCGACGGCUAUGAUUGGCCAUCGCAUGGGGCAAAGCCGCUGGGUCGGGGCGAUGCAGGUUUCCCGGUCGGAGCAGGCGGUGACGGCCGGCGCAGGGCGACGGGUAGACCAACGCGCAGACGGCGGCUGGCCCUGAUGGGCCGCCUCGGCGCGCGUGGCCGCCGGGUCGGAGGAGAGGCCGGCUGGUCGCGCCGGGGUCGGAGUAGAGGCGCUCGGGGUCGACGGCGGCGGUGGGCGACGCAAACCGAUCAAGAAUAGAUCGGAAAACCAAAAAGUAGACGCCGAUCAAAGCGACCGACGAAAGAGAGAAAACCCGGAUCAAAGGAUCGGGAAAAAGACUCUCUAGGGCAGCCGGCCAACACGGCCGGCGGACGAACCCUAGGUAUGGGCGGCGCAGCCCCCGACAGCGGACAUGGAGACCGACCGCUCCGGGGACGGCGCGCGGGUGCGGAAGCGGCGAGGGCAGGGUUGAGAACCCGGAAACUGAUACCAAGUUGGAAGGGAGAGAGGGAUUUGGAGGACUAGCUCGUUGUAUUGCUUAAGCCUCGUGGGCAUAUAUAUAGGAGUACAAUCAUCUACUUGGAGUACAAGACAAGCAGAACAAAUCCUAGCCUAUCUCGUCUUUUCUAAUAAACAUUAUGCUCAACAGCCGGGACCCGCCCGUCAAGGUUGGGCCGGCUCGCGGUGACUGCGUGACCCGGCUGCUCUGCUUCGCAGCUCGUACUUGUGCGGACGGUGCGCCUCUAUUUCGCGCGCACCAACCCAAGGAUCCAUCGUGGCUCGCACGUAGCUAGGAUCGGGUACUACUCUGGAGAAUGGAACUCUUUUUAGUACUGUGAUGAACUGAUGAUGGUGCUGAUAAUUACUAGUACUUGUACUCUAGAUCUGUACGCACUUCCUUGUAAUUUUUGCCGCGGAAUGAAAUGGAGCAGUUGGUGUGACCUUUCAUGCAUCUUUGUGUUGUCCUAGCUAGGGAUUUACACUAUGGCCACUUUAUACGUCAACACUCUUCCUCACAUUAUACGUCAACACUCUUCCUCACAUGUGGCUCCCUCAGGCCUAAACGUGGACCGAAAGUGGGCUGCAAUAUAAUUGCGCCAAUUGCGCCAGCCGGUCUUGAACUCAAGACCUCUUGGCUCCAAUACCAUGUAGAAGUGCAUGCUCUAUCCAAUGCAACCAAAAGGCCGGUCUGAUGAAAGAGACUAGUCAGCAUAUUAUACGUCAACACUGCCGGCGAAGCCUGGGAGGGAUCCAAUGAUGGCGGCAGCUGGGCAGUUCCCCUGAGCAACCUCCACUCCCAUUCUCUCAGCCGCGAUGGCGUGUUGUGGCGGCUCAACGGCGCACUCCCGAUCUGCAUGGGUCGCGGCGGGGUGGGGCAGAGAUCUUCGACGGGCGUUUGGCAAGGGCCGUCGACGACGAGGAUGCUCAGGAGCGUGGCGGGGACGGAGCUUUGACGACUGGGGCUGGUGGUCCAGAUCUGGGCGCCACUGGCCUUCGGAUUGCUUUCAUGGUCGUCUUCGUCUCGGUGGUGCAGCACUUGCCCCUUGCGGCGGGGACGACGGUGGUGGAUGGUUCCUCCGGCAGUCUUCCGAUGGUGGUGUCGACUCGGGUGAGGUCUGCUCCAUAUCUUCUAGCACCGAUCUUGCGCAGCCCGGAUGGUCUUGGGCAGAUCGACGGCUCUGGGACGUGGCUGUAGGCUGGCGUUGUGGUGCCUGAUGGUGCCGACAACUAGGUACCAUGAUGGUGCCGGCGCUCGGCCUGGCGGCGGCAUGCUAGAUCGUGGCGGCGUGGGGGCCUGCUACCGUGAUGAUAAGGUGGCGGUCCUCGUACUCUUCUCGCAUCACGGCAACAACCUGCAUGAUCGGUCCUCCUCGAUCUGGCCAUCGACGUGUUCCGGGCCGGCCGCCGGAAAUCUUGCUCAUGACAUCUAGAUCGGUUAGAUUCCGGUCGUGCAUGCUCAUAUCCGCCUAUGAGGUUCAGAGGGUGUUGCACGAAGCUCUGUUGGUUGACGACACUGAGGAAGUCCUGGAUAAGGGGGUAUCCGGACAACCGGACAAAGUACUUUGGCUGGACUGUUGGACUAUGAAGAUACAAGAUAGAAGACUUCGUUCCAUGUCCAGAUGGGACUCUCCUUGGCGUGGAAGGCAAGCUUGGCGAUUCGGAUGUAGAUCUCCUUCUCUGUAAACCGAUUUUGUGUAACCCUAGCCCCCUCCGGUGUCUAUAUAAACCGGAGGGUUUAGUCCGUAGGACUAAGGAUCAUUAUCAUCAACAAUCAUACCAUAGCGUAGCUUCUAGGGUUUAGCCUCUCUGAUCUCAUGGUAGAUCAACUCUUGUAAUACUCAUAUCAUCAAGAUCAAUCAAGCAGGAAGUAGGGUAUUACCUCCAUCGAGAGGGCCCGAACCUGGGUAAACAUCGUGUCCCCAGUCUCCUGUUACCAUUAGCCUUAGACACACAGUUCGGGACCCCCUACCCGAGAUCCGCCGGUUUUGACACCGACAUUGGUGCUUUCAUUGAGAGUUCCUCUGUGUCGUCACUGCAAGGUUAGAUGGCUUCUCCAACCUUCAACCACGCUGUCCUAGGCGAGACUUUUCUCCCCAGACAGAUCUUCAUGUUCGGCGGCUUCGCACUGCGGGCCAAUUCGCUUGGCCAUCUGGAGUAGAUCGAUAGCUACGCCCCCGGCCAUCAGGUCAGGCUUGGAAACCUAAACUACACCGCCGACAUCCGCGGAGACUUGACCUUCGACGGACUCGGGCCCGUGUCAGGAGUGCUGAACAAUCACGACGUGCAUGACCUAGAUCAACAGUCGGACAGUAUUCGGAACAUCGCACCUGCUACCGCUCCGGACUUCGCUCCAGGGCGGGUCGUGCCUUCCAAGGACGGGUGGAUGAACCCCUCCCCGGAGGCCGCAUACUCCUUGGCGUUGGAGAUGACCACAGACUCCUCUCCUAAAGGGAUAUGUGUCUCCGGACCCCCGUAAUCAUCUCCGGCCGUGUGUUCCGGACCGCGCGUAUCCAUGCCCAUUGAAUCUAACUGGGCUCCAGUCAUGGAGUUCACCACCGCGGAUAUCGUUCAUCACUCACCCUUCGGAAACGUGCUAGAUUAUUUAAGGUCUCUCUCUCUCUGUCAGGAGACUCCCGGCCAAACUAUGUCCGGCUCGAGUGGGAAGCUAGCGACGAAAAAAUUCGUUUCCCACCCACCACCCACUUAAUAGCCACGGUCAAUGACUUGACCGAUGUGCUUAACUUCGACUCCAAAGACAUCGACGGUAUAGACGAUGAUGCAGGAGAAGAACAGGAACCACCGCCCACAGGUGGCUGGACUACCACCUCUUCAUAUGACAUAUACAUGGUGGAUACUCCCAAAGAAACCAAUGGCGAUGAGGCAACGGAAAAGAACCCCUCGGGGAAGAAAGCAAAACAUAGGCGUCAUCGGCGCCGCUCCAAGGUUCGCCACAACAAUACCGGCACCGGAGAAGAUAAUCCAGAUGGUGCCGAAGGGGAAUACGAUCCUGAUCAACCCACCAUCAAGCAAGCUGAACAGAAGCAGCAGCAGCUCCAAGCUGACCAAGAUCUGCUCGCAGACAAACGGACUAAGUCCCGGGCAGCCGAAGAAUACGGACUCAAGUGCCGAACAAAAUACUCCCAAAGCGCAGGUUACUACCUCAAUUCGAGGAGGCAGCACUGAAAAUCAAACGCAUGCCUACACCCUGUCGAUAGCACACUACGGCAAGGGGCUGCGCACAAGACCAGCGUCACAUACCAAACAACAACAUAGAAAGUACCCUGGACGAAUCAGCGGACAGAAACAGAGUCCACAAACCUUGGUGCAACAAAUAUAAGCGUCCCAAGACAAAGAAUGGCGCCCGGGGAACGGCGAUCAACAAAGGAGCCCGUAAUCCUCAAACCGUUGAGAGGGAGAAGAGACAUCAACAUCUUAAUCCGGGCCCCUCCAGCUUGAACUGAAUACUUGACCGACCAUGUCAAAUCCAUGGUACCCCAGGAGUAGCAGCCAAUCAUACAAAUAGAGAAUGCUGGGUCUUUAAACAAAUCAGUAGGCCGGCGCCAGAAGGAGCAUGAAGAGGUGCCAGGGCAAGCAACCCAGAUUAUCAGGUCUAGGGACCGACCACUUGAGGAUCAGGCCCCACCAAACAACUCAUUUUAGAGUGUCACACAUAGGCGUAAGGGCCACCCAGGCCCCGCCACCCCGGAGAUGGUCUCCGGAUAGACAAAAAUGUCAUACCAACUUUCGGUCUUAUACUUCCAGGCAGUAGCUAUUCAGCACCGCCAGGGCACACUGCGACUCAAUGCAUUAUCACCCAAAACCCACGUGAUGACAUCACAAUUGCGGUCAUUACCGAGCUUCGCCUCGGCACCGAAGAAUAUUCAGCUACUUUAUUCACUGAAGCAGCGAGUCACGGUUUCUUCAAUCAAACCUAAAUUCGACAGCCGAACUCCCGGACACCGACAAGGGAGUCCGAACUACUUCAGGAUACCCCAACCUAAUCAUAGCUCAUACAGACCCUUCAGCAUAAGCUGGACCGAUCACAUCCACGGCUCAGCCACUGCUCACACACGCCUCUUAAGCACUAUUUGCAGGUUCACCCUCGCACACAUUCGGACCGGUGGCUUGGAAUCAGCUCGGACGCAUACAGGGGGGAUGUCCACCCCACCUGAACACAAUCCAAGUAUUCCUCCGGACCCGCGCACAGCCAACCACCGCCCAGCCCCAACAGGUUCUGCCAUCAUGCCUCUCUUUUAUAACAUGCACCGUACCCAUACGCAUAGACGUAUUACUUAAAUACAACAUGUGGAGUCAUUUGACGCUUAUCUGCUAUUUUUCAACGACAUUUUGUCAUAAUGGCAUCCGAACAUCUUGUUAUGCCUUCGAACGUCAGGGGCUUCCUCGCACCCAUACUAUGCCGUCUAAAGUCCAAACACCUUCUCAGUCGUUCGGCACCCCGAACUUAUAGCAUUAUGUGCAUCAGCUCCGAAUCAUAUCUUGGGUCAUUGGUUGGGUUUGCCCGGCUCCCAUGUUUUGGUACCUUACGUUCCGCAAUAUCGGCUAAGGUAGAGCUGGGAGAACUACUGCGAUUGUGUCCCGGUUCUACCGGACGAACACCUCAGUAGAGAAAGCCGAAAACCAACUGUCAUGAUAAGGCGAGAGAUGGUCAGUUGUUCGAGAGGUUGUCAAAUCUUUAAGGAUUUAUUCCGCAUAAUGCCAUAAUAAAAUGCAGCGUGCGAAGGAUCAGUCCACCGAUCAGGUGCUAUUAGAGCCCCCCGUGCGGUCUUCCGAACACCAGGGGCUGCGCCGCCCAUACUCGAAAUCCUAUGGCUAAGUGAGAGUAAUAAAGCUUUAUAGUCCGAUUGCCUGGUUCGCUGUGCUGAACACCUCCUUCAUGGACCCAAGAAUGGGAUAAAGAGUGUUCAGGUGUAUCCCGAACACCCCCGUAUUUCCUACAUGGGGCCAGAAGCCGAUGACUGGCCAACUCUCAAGACUAACAUAUUAAACAACCGCGCAGGAAUUAAAUUUACGCAUAACAGGCACCUACAUAUAAGUGACUCUGUUUUGCCUUACAAAUCAUAGCACAAUUGCUUUCAGGGAAAAAUAAUGUCUUUCGUACAUUCCUCGGCCACGAGGCGGGCGCCUUUUAAGACGCCAUCAUAAUAUAGUUCGGGCUUGCGGUGCUCCUUCCCCUUCGGCGGCCCCUCGGUCAUCAACUUCUCAGCAUCAAGCUUCCCCCAAUGCAUUUUUGCACGGGCAAAUGCCAUUCGUGCCCCUUUUAUGCAAACUGACCGCUUAAUGACGUCCAGCCGAGGGCAGGCCCUCCCAAUCUGCUUCAUGAGCGCAAAGAAACUGCUCGGUAUGGGCUCGGCGGGCCACAGCCGGAUAACCAAAUCCUUCAUGGCUAGUUCGGCCGCUUGAUGCAGCUCAAUCAGCUGUUUUAGUUGGUCGACAAACGGCACCGGAUAGUUCAGCGCCAAAUACUGCGACCAGAAGAGCUUCUCCGCAAUUUCCUUCUUCUCAGCUCGGUAGAAUUGGGCAACAUCAGAUAUGCUGCGCGGCAAAUCCGCGAAUUCUCCUAAAAAAAUUAGGAUUCAAUGGGUCACCAUGAAUCUUCCCUGCGAAAGCGUAAGACACCUUGAGAAAACAAAAAACCCCCUUACCAGCCGAAAUCUUCCGCGCCUCCUGAAUAUCCUUCAGCAUAGCCUGGGCUUCCUCUCGAGCCUCACUCGCGGUCCGGAGAGCUUGGGCAAGUUCGGAUUCUUUCAACGAUAGACUCUGCUCCAAGCUCUCGUUUCUCCCUACGGCCUCCUGAAGCUCUCGUUCAGCUUCCACGACCCUCGCCUCAUGUUUCUCACGGAGAGUCCGCUCCGUGGCAGCAUUCUUUUCGGCCAAGGCAAUAGCCUUCUUGAGCGCCUCAAUUUCGGCAUCCGCCCGUGGAGCGCGCAAUAUAUAUACUUUAAGAUAGUCACAACUACUUACUUGUGGCAAAACUUACUAAAAGUUUUCCAAACAUACCUUGUUUCUCCUCCAGCAGCUUCUUCACUCGGCCGAGUUCUUCUUCGGCCUGCACCAGACUCUGCUUGAGUCCGAACACUCUGCAGUAUGAGAGGAGGCAGUUGUUGCAGACAUCUGAUUCACAAAUAUAUAUAUAUAUAUAUAUAUAUAUAUAUAUAUAUAUCAUUAGCUAAGUCUCCUGCGGACGGGAAGUUGAUCCCUUGUCCGGUUCCUAUCCUCUUCGAACAGUGUAUCAGGGGCUACUAUCUAUACUAUGACAGUCUUCUACACAUACAUCCAAGCCUUUUAUAAGGCUGGCGCAGGAUUCAUUCAGUCCGCUCUCGGUGGCCUGAAUCUUUUCUAUCACCACUCCCAUAAGGGCGCGGUGUUCAUCAAUAAUGGACACACUCUUCAGUGCUGUCGAUAGGUCGCCUGACGCCUUUGGUUGGACGAAGGUCGCAGGCGGAGUAGGAUCGCCCCCUCCAGUCAAAGGGGGCUGCUUGCCUGAUCUCGGAGCCGUCAGGGUCUCCGGGACCGUGUCCGGCUGUGGGUCGGAUCCACGAUCACCCCCGCCGUCGAUAUUCAUGGGAACCGCCGCUCCCGCGCGUCCAGCCUCCAAGGUGCGCCCCCUGGCUCAUGUCCUUUUCGACGACACCUCGGUGUCACAGCCAGGCUUUGGGGAAGGGGCCCUAGGAGGGGUCUCACUCUGCAAGGCAUCGGAACUCAACGUGUCCUCUGAUGAGUCAUGUUGGGCCGGAGACCUGGCCGGACUGUAAAAAGUACAGUGUGAAUCAAAAUACUGCAUUCUAGUAAAUUCUGGAUGCAUGGAUGUGUCUGGAUUUCGUGCACUUACGAUUUUACCAGGGGCUGGGCCUUGGGAUCCCACUCCGGGCUGCUGUCGGUAGUCGUGGUGGACACCUCAGGGACGGAUGUUCUUCCCCUCUUAGGCGAAUCUGCCUCUAAGGAUGAGGAGGCUGCCCUUUUCUUCCUCCCCCUUGUAAGGGACUCGGGCUCUUCUUCCUCCUCCUCCUCAUUCUCAUCCUCUUCCUCCUCCUCAUUCUCUCUGGAGGAGGGAGGGUCGCUGGAGUCUUCGGACUUCGUGUCCGAAGCGCCCCGACGGCGGAGACUGCUCCUGGUCUCCUUGGCCUUUUUGUUGGCCUCUUUCUUUGGCUCCUUGUAAGGCGCUGGGACCAGCAUCUUCGUCAGAAGAGGUCCCGCCGGUUCUUCCGGCAGCGGGGCCGGGCAAUGAAUCAGCCCCGCCACCUUCGUCCAUUCCUGGGGCAACCGUGGAAAGACACGUUAGAAAACAUGUCCUUCAAAGACAUAGCAAUGGCACAUGCGAAUAACCAAGCUAUGAUGGCGACUUACCGGACUGGCGGGGUGGGACAACUGGUACCCGCGGUCUGCGGCAGAGUCCAGCCAUGGUUUGCCGGACUUAAAGAGCACCUUCCAGAUGUCCUUGUGCAUGGAGCCGAAAAGCUCCCACAGGGUUUGGUGCUCGGCCGGGUCGUACUCCCACAAAUCACAACCUCUAUGCUGGCAAGGAAGGAUCAGGCGGACCAGCAUCACCUGGACCACGUCAACGAGCCUGAUGGCCUUGUCCUCCAUACCUUUGACGCGCGCCUAGAUCACUGACAGUUCAUCGGACGACGACCAGUUUAUGCCCUUCUUGGGCCAGGAUGUGAGCCGCAAAGGGGCUCCAGAUCGAAACUCAGGAGCAGCGGCCCACUUUUUGCCGCGCGGCUCAGAGAUAUAGAACCACUGUUGCUGCCACUCCUUGAUGGAGUCGUUGAAUGUACCCGUCGGCCAUGUGACCUUGGGCAUCCUGCUCACCAUGGCGCCUCCACACUCGGCGUGUUCGUCACUCACUACUUUGGGCUUCACGUUGAAGAUCUUGAGCCAUAGCUCGAAGUGCGGCGAGAUACGAAGAAAGGCCUCACACACGACAAUAAAUGUCGAGAUGUUGAGGAAAGAAUUGGGGGAUAGAUCGUGGAAAUCAAUCCCGUAGUAAUACAUGAUGCCGCGAACAAAAGGGUGGAGGGGAAACCCGAGCCCGCAGACGAAAUGGGGGAGGAAAACAACUCUCUCCUGGGGCUCCGGAGUAGGGACAAUCUGUCCCGCCGUUGGAAGACGGUGGCCGAUUUUCUUGGCCAGAUAUCCGGCCGCUCGGAGCUUCUUAAUAUCCUUCUCCUGGACGGAGGAGGCCAUCCACUUGCCUCCUGCUCCGGAUCCAGACAUUUUUGGAGGACCUUUUUUUGGCGGGGAGGAUGAAUGCUUGGACGCUAGGGUUCAAACGAAAGGAAAGGGGCGAGCAGAGGCAGAAGAAGGCAUGGGUAGAAAGGAGGAGGCUUUCCCCCUUUAUAAAGGCGAUAAAACAUUACGCCUCCCCGCUUGCCUAAUGGAGCCUACUCGUUCCCCACUUACCGUAAUUGAUGGUACGGUUAGGCUACCCAUGCCCGUAUUAAAGAGAAUCCCACAAUAAGGGGACACGAUCUCUGCUUUGACAAGACAUGCCAAAGGAACUGCCUCGCGAUGUGUGCGGAAGCAGGUUGAAGAAAACGGUAUGAAUAAAAACCGGACCGUGGUGUGGUGUCACUUUUCGAAGGAUUGUCAGCAGAUUGAAUUCGUGGAUUAUUAUUGUUCUCUCUACGGUGAUAUAUGGAAUGAUUAUCUUGCAAAGCCGGACACGGUCCUUGUGUUUGGAAUUUAUCUUGGAGUAUUCGGAGAUGGAACCCGUCUCGCAAUGCCGAAGACAAUCUACGCGCCGGACUCAUCGUCAUUGAAGCCUGGUUCAGGGGCUACUGAGGGAGUCCUGCAUAAGGGGGUAUCCGGACAGCCAGACUAAGUACUUUGGCCGAACUGUUGGACUAUGAAGAUACAAGAUAGAAGACUUCGUCCCGUGUCCGGAUGGGACUCUCAUUUGUGUGGAAGGCAAGCUUGGCGAUUUGGAUGUAGAUCUCCUUCUCUGUAAACCGACUCUGUGUAACCCUAGCCCCCUCCGGUGUCUAUAUAAACCGGAGGGUUUAGUCCGUGGGACUAAGGAUCAUUAUCAUCAACAAUCAUACCAUAGGCUAGCUUCUAGGGUUUAGCCCAUCUGAUCUCGUGGUAGAUCAACUCUUGUAAUACUCAUAUCAUCAAGAUCAAUCAAGCAGGAAGUAGGGUAUUACCUCCAUCGAGAGGGCCCGAACCUGGGUAAACAUCGUGUCCCCAGUCUCCUGUUACCAUUAGCCUUAGACGCAUAGUUCAGAACCCCCUACCCGAGAUCCGCCGGUUUUGACACCGACAGACACCUUGGGACAUGUCGGCUUCUCGAUUUCCACGGUGAAGACAUCGGUGGAGAAGGUCAUGAUGGCCGAGAUCGGAUGAUCAGUUAGACAAAUGGAGCCUUGGAGGCGAUGGAGUCAGUCAGGUGUCAGAUAACUCUUUGGAGCAUCAGUGAUAAAUGGGGGCGACAACACUAGUGGAUUUCAUUUUUGGUGGUACUCCUCGAGUGCCGAGUCGUGACUUUUAGGGUGAAAACCUAAGGUCUUCUCUUUAUUGUCUGUGCAUGGCGAUUGCCUUGUCGAAGGAUUUGUUUUGAGAGUGCGAACUUUCUUCAGGGUGAAAAUCUAAGAUUUUGGAUUAGGUAACGAUGGCGCUUGUGCACUGUUAUCUUCUUGAAGGCGUUACUUUUGGAGACCUUUUAUGUUUUUCGGGUGUUGUAUUAGGUGGUGAUAGGUGUGCUGCUGUUGAGAGGAGUCAAUCGCUGUGGCGGGACCUUUCUUUUUUUCUUUCUUUUUAUUUUUUUCUUUGGAUGUGUGCAUCCUGGAUGUUUUUGUGACAUCUUGUAGAUGCAGAGGCUGGAUGUAAUUGGUUCUUCGUGAUAUUAGUGAAUUCCUUUUUAAAAAAAAGGUUGUAUGAGGUUAGCAAUUUCUUCGGAAACGCAUGACAAUUUUUGAAAGAGAAAUUUUACAGGAAAACGACAAGAUUUUCAUCUCCUAUCAAAGAAAGUUGCCUUAGAAAACAUUUGCUUGCCAACCCCCUCCAGCUGACGUUGGUUUUUUUUGGAACGAAGACGUUAGAAGCGUCCGGCUUUAAAUUAAUAAAGCCCAUAAGGCAACAGGUUCAAACGAUUACAAACUUAGCAAACUAAAGAAAGUAUCAGCGGUCCACGACCGGCACGGGGAAUGACAUAAGGUUCAUCGCGGCGUCAAUAUUACAACCAUCCAAACAGGACAGCGCAACGACCAAGCUAACAGACUUGCCACAAAAGUCACUCCAAAAACAUCUUCAGCUCGCCGGAUCCUGUCUUGCUUGCGCCUGAAUCGCCUUGAUGCGCGCCAUGGCUUCUGACAUGCGCUCAGCAUCGCGCUCCUUCCCCAGAGGGGUCCACAUCUGCAGAAAUAGGUGGCAUUUGAAGAUCACGUCUGCAGGAUGGUUAGGAAUUUUUUUUCUCGAUUGUAAUCUUGUUACGCGUCGUCCAAAUAGCCCAAAUCAGCGCCCCUACGCAAUGCCAAGCUAUUCUACUUGAAGUCCCUUUUGUGGACUUUAGGAUGGAGACAAGUUGGUGCCCCGAGGUAGGGUUCCAGUCCGUGUGGAAGGCCUCCCGAGCCGCACUCCACACGAACCUGGCCAAAUGACAUCUAAAAAUACAUGGUUCGCAUCUUCGCCUAGACCGCAAAUCAAGCAAGUACCGUCAGUCGGACCAUUUCGUUUGGCCACAUUAUCUGACGUAGGCAGCCUAUUCCUAAGCAUUUGCCACCUGAAGAUUUUUAUCUUCAAAGGCAGUCCUGCCUUCCACAGCCCCUUAGCUAUAUCAUGUGAUGGCCCUUCCGUGAGCUUGUUAUAUAGGGACUUAACCGAAAAUUUCCGCGAAGCAGUCAGGCUCCACUCUACCGUGUCAACCGUCGUCCCUAGACGGUUGACACCGAUCUGCUGUAUCAGCCCAUCCCAAGAUGCACACUCUUCGUUCGUAAGGGACCGCAUAAAGUGGAUCGGCGGAGGAUCGGUGCGAAUUGCCUCCCCCAACUAAGACGUUAGUGUUAGUGGCUAUCCGAAAAAGGUUGGGGUGGCUUUGCCAAAUGGGGGAUGCACCCAGGCAAUGGUCGAGCCAAAACCGGGCUGAUUGGCCAUUGUUAAUCUGAAAUUUGGCCCCAAUGUCAAAAGCCGGCCGCGCCGCUUGGAGCCCUCUCCAAAACACGGAGCUGUUGGCCGAGGCAGUGAAGGGUUUCCCGUUCGGGAAGUACUUGGCCCUUAACAGUCUCGCCCAGAGCCCCGACUCAUUUUGCGCCAACCACCACCACCAUUUGGCAAGGAGGGCGAUGUUCAUCAGUUUGGAAUUGAGUAUUCCCAAUCCACCAUAUUUUUUUGGCCUACAAACAGCCGCCCAUUUGACUAGGUGGUAUUUCCUCUUGAUUCCAGUUCCUUCCCAAAAGAACCAGUCUCUCGGAGUAUCUAGCUUAGCGUGAACGCCGUUAGCUAGUAGGAACAUCCCCAUUGUGAAAAGGGGAAGAGAAGAGAGGCUCGAGUUCGUCAGAAUAAGCCUUGCGGCAGAGGACAUGAAUCUCCCAUGCCAGGGGCUUACCCUGUUGACCACUUUCCCGUACAGGGGCUCCCACUCAAAAAUCGAAAGUUUGCGGUGAGAUAUAGGAAGCCCAAGGUACUUAAUUGGAAAGCUCCCCAGCUUGCAAUUAAGUAGGUUUGCGACACGUGUGCUGUGCUGGUCUUCCAUCCCCAUGGUAAUGACCUCACUUUUAAGAAAGUUAAUCUUGAGUCCGGAGAGGAGCUCAAAGGCUAAAAGCAAGAGCUUUAUCGUAGCAAUACUAUGGUCGUCCGGGUUAAACAGCAGCAAAGUGUCGUCAGCAUAUUGGAGGUGUGUCACACCACCUGGAAUGAGGUGUGGGACAAGGCCUUGACGUGUCCUGCCUCCCUGGCUUUGGACAACAUGGUAGCCAAAGCGUCCGCCACAAAGUUAAAGACGAGAGGGGAAACGGGGUCGCCUUGUCUAAGGCCUUUCCUAUUAUGAAAGAACUUACCCAUAUCUCCAUUGAUAAUAACCAAGGUGUUGCCACUCGAGAUCAGAUGCAUGAUCCGGUUGACGAACCCUGCCUCAAAACCCUUUUUGAGGAGGACCUCCGUACAAACUCCCAGUUUACACGAUCGUAUGCUUUUUCAAAAUCUAGUUUGAGGAUGACACCCUGGCCCCGCAAAUGUUUCAACUCAUGGAUUAUCUCCAUAAGGGCAAUAGGCCCUUCCAGGAUGUUCCUGCCUUUAAGGAAAGCGGUCUCGCUAGUGCUAAUGACACGUUGAGCGACCGACGCUAACCUAGAAGCAUAGGCCUUGGCACAAAUCUUGACAGGAACGUUUAUGAGCGUGAUCGGCCGGAACUGCUUAAUUGAUUCCGCCCCUUUAACCUUGGGGAUCAAGCAUAUUGCCCCAUAAUUGAGACGCGACAGGUCCACCGAACCAAGGGCGAAACCAUUGAGAAUCGCUAGAAACGAGACCCUAAGUGUCUACCAAAACCAUUUGAAGAACUCCACCGGCCAUCCAUCCGGACCAGGAGCCGUGCCGUUCUUCAUACCAGCUAGCGCACUAUCGAGCUCUUGGGGCGAAAAGGUCACCAUCAAGGCGUUGUUUUCCUGCUGCGAAACUCGCUCGUGCAAAUCCCAUAAGUCUUCCAUGAGACUUAAACUCUUUGCUUUGGCUGUUCCCAACAGCUCGACGAAGAAAUCAAAGAUGUGCUUAACUAUUUUGUUUUGGGUGACCAGGGUCCCGACCUCCGACUCGAGCCUAAGAAUCGUGAUCUUGCGCUUACGACCAUUAGCGUAAGCAUGGAAGUAGCCCGUGUUUGCGUCGCCUUUCACGACCCACUUGACGCCGCCCCUGCGGCGCCAAUACUCCUCCUCCGCCCUGAGAAUAGUCAGGACUUGGUGCUCUAAGGAGUAUCUAUACUCCCAUUCGUCCCCAGAGAAGGCUCUCACGUCCGCCUGCGCGUCUAGGAGAGCGAUUUCAUCCAUGAUGCGCUCCCUAACCCUUUUAGAUUCGCUGCCAUGAUUGGCGCCCCAACCCCUGAGGAAAGCCCGUAAGGCGGCAGCCACAGAGGAUCAGAACUCUACUGGUCCUCGUUGGCGGCCAACCUGGUUACCAAUCAAGGACCACCGAUCCGUGACAAGUUGGCAGAAACCUUCAUGUUCGAACCACGCAGUCUCAAAAAAGAAUCUACGGCUACGACGCACACUUUCCUCCCCUGAGGAUAGGAUCAGAGGUACGUGGUCUGAUCCAAUGCGCGUUUCAGCCACUAAGGUACAGAGGGGAAACAAGACCUCCCAGUCACUUGAACAAAAAACACGGUCAAGUACACAUCGCACUGGCUCCUGCUGUUUAUUUGUCCAAGUGUAUCUUGCCCCUGUACGCACAAUCUCUCUAAGAGCAGCGGCCGCGAUGGCAUUAUUGAACAAGGACACCCUAGCCCAGUCAAUGUUGUCGUUGCUCUUAUCAAGUUAAAAUCGCCUCCCACCAACACUGGUAAGUUAGACGUUUGUUUGGCCCCAACCAGAGUUGUGAGUUCUCCCAAGAACUCAGCAGACCUCGCAUGAUUAGACAGCCCAUACACACUUACGAUCACCCAAAAGGCAAGGGAAACCCGGUGACGAACAGUGGCAGCGAUAUAAAACGAACCAGAUUCCCACAGAAUAACGUCGCAAGUGUCUUUAUUACAGCCCAUCAAUUGACCACCAGAAAGGCCCACAGAAGGAGUCCAGAACCAAUCAAAACGCUGGAGCGGAUCGUACGCCAAAAGAUCUCUAAACGAAAAAUUAGCCUUAAUCGUCUCCCGGAGCGCGACAAAGUCGAUGCGUUCUUUGGACAUAUACUCACGUAGUUGCGUACGCCGCCCCACAUGCCCGCAACCGCGGAUAUUCUAGAAGAUGUAUCGCAUCAAAUGAUCCGGUUGCGCAGGCGAACUCCACGGGAGCUAACCGCCUUGGCCACACGCUUCCUAGCCGGCGCCCGGCUGGAAGAGGGCAAGUCCGAGGCCACCCUGGCCUCGUCUCCCUCGAUGGGCAGAGCGACAACACCAGCCCCUACUGGUGCUGAAGACUGGCCGUCCACGGGAUGAACCGCCACGCCCCUGGCAGCAGCAGCCGCAAGGGCGGCCUGAGCUUCUUCACGCGCGCGCACUAACGGAAUAAUGUCCAAAGUCGAAGAAUCUAGCGCAACGCCACUAUCGUGAAGAAUCUCAGCAAGAUGCUCGUCAGAAAAAGCAUUCAGAAUCUUAAAAGAAGGGGUAAGGUUACCUGCAACAUCCAUGUUUUUGUCAUCAGCACGGAGCUUGGCACUUUCCAGAGAAGUUAAGUCCCCAAGCUUGGCCUUGGCGCGUGCGCUUGGAUCCCGAGAUGCUACCGGGGUUGCCCUUGUACGCUUGGCCUUGGCUGCCGGCCCUGAAGCCACCAAAGCCGCCCCCAACUCGCCCCCAGCGCCGCCGCCGACCCCGCUGCAGCCGUGUCCACCGUCUUGCACCCAGCCUUCCGCCCAGCAGUCUUCUUGGCCUGGCGGCCUGAGCUGCUCGACAGGCGCCUGAACGAGGCCGGAGUGGGGACCGAGUCCAUGAGAACGCAGUCCAACCCCGAGCCCCCUCCGCCCUCUGGAGAGGCAGGCAAGGCCUCGAUCUCCAUUGCCACCAGCGAUAGAGGCACUGUCGCAUUCCCAAGCCCUUCGAAGGACGGGUCCAGAGAGCGAGCGAGGGGAGGAAGGCUAACGGCCGUGUCUUGAGUCGCAACCACCCCUAGUUUCUCCCAAGUCUCAAUAUCUAUUGAAGUAUCUUGGAUGCUAUCUUCAUGCUCAUCAGCCAGCUCGCCCAUCACCGCAUCUUGACCAACCACCCACACUCCGAAGCCAGCCGCCUCCUUCUGUGGCACCACCGUCGCAUCAAUGGGCACAAUCGCACCAGUGGCAGCCACCUUGGAGGAAUUGCCUGCGUGUGGCCCAGGCUUGUGAGGCCCGCCCUUGCCAUGCUGGCUGUCAGUCGAGGGGGGGGGGAGGGGCCCGCCCCAGGAGCCCCUCCCCCAACCCCCAGCCGCCGCGACAGCUGCUCCAGCUCAACCCUGAUCUGGUACCCUUCGUGGUUGAACCAAACCUCCACUGUGCCAUUCAGCUUGGCCGGAGUCUUGCAAGCCAGUUUCAUCCUCACCGGACCCAAUUUAAUGAUGGAGAGCUCGUCUACCACGAUAGGCCUCCCCAAACAUCAUGAAAGCCUCCUUGAUUCGCUUAAUCUUGCGAUGUUUCUCAGGGAUCCCAUGGAGCCGCACCCAUGCUUCUGGCAUCACCAUUGGUGGGAUCACCUCGUGCACCACAUCUCGCAUCCUAGCAGUGAUGUUGUUAAUUGAGAGGAACAACUUGCCACUUGUUCGAGCCAUAUGAAGGAGAUCUGCAGAGGGGAAAACCACCAUGAAAUCGUCUUCUCCCACUUGAGAGACUUGCCAGUCCCAAUCGCCCAUGACCAUGUGCUUGAGCUCCUGCUUGAGGACCCGCAGGUUCAGGCGGCCCGGCUCUGCAGAGAGAAUCGCAGCAUUGCCGACCGAGAGCUGCCGAGGACCCUCGGACUCCGCCUCCUCUUCGAACUGCAGACAGAAGAAGCCCUCCCUUGAAAUUGCGCUUCCCAUGAUCUGCAGGCUUGGCUGUCGACCCCUCGUCGGACAGUGCACAGAUGCAUGUCCCUCUUCCUUGCAUAGCACACAUAAGGGUUGAAAUUUGCACUUGGACUGAUAGUGACCUAGCCUGCCGCACUUGAAACACCCCACAUCCAUCGCCUCCGACGCGUCCUCCACCGAAAUGGGCUCGCCCGUUGUGCCCUUUGCACCAGGGGUAGAGACACCGCCAGAGGUUCGGUCGCCGCCCUGGGCUUCUUGGCCAGAGGAUCCCCAUGGCCACCACCAUAGUUGGGUAGAUCCGCUGGCUUGCGCUCGAGCUCCCGGCGCCGAGCCAUCUCUUUUUUCUUCUUUCUUCGCUCCUGCUGCUGGAUCCACCAAGGGGGAGGAGGACCCCAAUCCCCCUCGUGCCCCUCCUGCUCGUGGCUUCGCUCAGAUCUGCCGCUCGGUCUUGCACGCAUCUCUUUCUUCACCUUCUCCCGCAGGUCUCGCUCACGCCGCCACUCCCCAUCCGAGACCGGAGGCUCCAUUGGCCUCUUCUCCGCACGCCGCCCGCUCAUCACCGCCGCCGCAAACGAAAUGGAGAGAGGAGGAGGUGGGGAGAUGGGAUGGAUGGAGCGAGCGAGGUGAGCCCAGCGCCGCAUCUCGUUUCUGAAUGCAGGAGACCCUAGCGAGGGGUCGAGGCAUCCGCGGCACAUCCAUAUAUAGGCGCCAGCGCUGGGCCGAGGCCGAGGGAGGCGCGGCGCAGGCCGGUCAGAAUCAACAAGCCCACUUAGAGCCAGUCCCCCGGGCCCAGGAGGCACACUGUCCCCCACUUGACUAGGGCCGCCGACCCCCACCAACCUUGGUGAGUGGGCCGGCCCACGGUCCACCUGCCCCUCGACGGCCCCGGGCCCAGUGCCCGCAACCCUAGCCUCAAGGGAGACAGAUCCGACCGCCGCCUCCUGCGGCCCGGCCGCCGUCGCUGCCAGCACCCGACCGACCACCGCCGACGCCGGCAGGCACACUCCACCUCCGAGUCCAUCGGAGCCAGGAGUGCAGCCGCCGCCCUCGCCCGGAUGCCCCACGCGGCACCCCCCGGAGACGCCGAGCCCCUGCCCGGAGUCAAAAAGGGUCUCCAUGCACGGACUGUGACCUCGCGCGACCCCCGUCCGCCCGGAGCGAAACGGCGGCGCGCCCUCGCGGUGCCGCUCCCUUGCGCGUGCGCACAAGCCACAUAAUCACCAAGCGACGGCCUCGCCGGCACCAGAGUCUCAGCCUCCGCCGCUGAAUCCACGACCUCCUCGUCCUCCGAAUCGAAAUCAGCCAGCGCCCAGAAGCGGCCUCCCACUGACGCCAGCGUCGCGCCUGCCCCCAUGGCUGGCCCCGCCCUCGGCGGAGAGGAGCUAGCGCCUCGCCGGACCACCUCCCAGCCCUCGCUGGCCGGAGCCGAAGGCGACCGGGGCGGGGAGCCCGGGCUGUCGCCAGGAGGAGAGCCUAACGGUCCGCUCAUUUCAAAACCCCCUACCAGCAUCGAAGUCUCUGCUAGCUAGUUCGUUUACACGACUUCAGUGACAUGCCGCAUUCCAGCUGACGUUGGUCAGUUAAUCAGUUAUUAUUACCAUGAAAGAUAAGACAAUAAUUUUUUCCAUUUCAUGUAAGCUAGAAACUGGACAAGAAAGCACGAUCGACCGUAGGAGGUCAUGAGGGUUUGCUCAUGUGCAAGCACAACAGUGACAACAGAUCCGCAUAAUUACCUAUCAACUGAUGAAGCGCCCAAAAUUAGCAUAAGAGAAAAUAUGCGCCACCAUCAGUGCACCGCAUCUCCGCACGAGACUAGCCACAGUGGGGAGUAACAUACACUAGUAACAUAAACAUAUCCCUAGACUAUGUUACUACCUUCAUAGUGGGUAGUAACAUAAGCGUGGUAACAUGCAAAGCUUUAUUUAUUAGGUUAUAGACUCAUAUUGCAUUGGGACAUGUGAUGUUACAGUAACUAACUAAGUUACUAUAACUACCUCUCACCUCAUUAACUCAUUGCCAUAUAAGCAAAUUUGCUGAGUUGGACUCGAUACUGCUGAAGUUACUCCCACUAUGGCUAGUCUGAUGCUCUUCAUACAGUUCGAGUAUAAUGAAUCAGUUCGAGUAUAAUUGAAUUUCUUCACGUCCCGCUUUAUGCGAAGCAAACACAGUUGUCCGGCGGCAUGGACGCAACAUUGUUUUCAUUUUAUUUGUAUCCCUGUUUGCUGCUGGGUGACUUGAACUUGAUUCACGUUUAAUAAAAUAUUUAUCUUGUGAUGCAGAGGUCAGGCUACUCUUCUUCUGAAAAAGCAAGAUAUAUGCACAGUAAAACAGUAUGCUAGUGGUCAAUGCCACCAUUGGAUACUUAUAAGAGUCAUGUACAGCAUAAUUUGCCUUGUUUCAAAACAAAAAGUACGGCAUAAAACUGAGUCUCCGACCGCGCGCGCGCAUGUCACUCCCUGCGCCGCAUGAGGCGGUGCAACUGAGCACGGUUCCCUGCUAAGCAAAUCCGAAUAAUUCCACGAAGGGUAGUAACGACUAACGAGUGUGUGCUGACUUGAUCGUGCCGUGGUGUGUGGGCAAGCUUCAUGGUUUAGUUCGUUGUGCUAAAUGCAUGCCGAGCCGGGUCCGUUUGUCCACGAGCCCGUGCAGAUCAGGUCCAGGCUUGCCUAUUUGGCGCUGCAGGCGCCCGUUAUAGGGCAUUUUGCUAGCGGGCGCCUGCAGUGCGCACCCCCUGCCGCGAUUUCUGGCCGGCCCAGUUCCUUCCCUUCCCAUCUCUUUUUCUGUCAAACGUCGAAAAAAAAGUGAGCUAGGGAGGAUUCGAACCUGCAACCUACAAUGCAAUUUAGCAAAGCACCAACCACUCGGAAAAACCAACCACAUGUGACCAGAUGCACAUUUUUCUCCUUCUAUUCUUUUCCCAGAACGCGACCGGGUUUUGUUUUCUUAUCUUUUUUUCUGUUUCUUUUUCUUUUUCAAAUGCGUGAACUUUUCUCAAUUUUCGCAAAAAAAUAAAAUUGAUGAACUCUUUUUUAGAUUUGUGAACUUUUUCAGAAUCGAUGAUUUUUUUUCAAAUUUGAUGAACUUUUUUUCAAAUCCGGUGAACUAUUUUCAGUUUUCAUGAACUUUUUGGAAUUACUUUUUUUGAAAUCCGGUGAACUAUAUUCAGUUUUUAUGAACUUUUUUGGAGUUUGAUGAACUUUUUUUUAAAUCCAGUGAACUAUAUUCAGUUUUUAUGAACUUUUUUGGAAUCUGAUGAACUUUUUUGAAAAUCAAUUAACUUUUUUUUUAAAAUUAUGAACUUUUUUUAAAUCAAUUUUUUCAAAUUCGAUGAACGUUUUUCAAAAUUGAUGAACCUUUAUCAAAUUCGAUGAACGUUUUUCAAAUUUGAUUUUUUAUUUUAAAAUCUGUGAAAAAAAUUUAAAUUUGAUGAUUUUUUUUUGUAAAAUCGAUGAACUUUUUUUUUGAAAGUCAAUGAACCUUUUUCAGGUUUGUGAACUUUUUCUUCCAAAACGAAGAUCUUUUUUCCAAAUAAUUCAAAAAAAGUAAUUGGUACCAUAGAUGAAUGAUUAUGUUCAAUAAAAUAGCACUGCAGCCUUGUCAUUAAGCUCCUGCCUCUGGUACUAGUCAUGAAUGGCAAGUAGCUCAUCUGGCUGGUUGCAAUUGUGUGUCAUCACGUGGUGGUGAGUUCGAAUCCUGUGAGGAGAGCAUAUUUUUUUCCCCUUUUUGGUUUUGCGAGCUUUUCGCGUUCACUGAUUUGCACUUCCCAUAGGCCGGCCCAGCGCGGGGCGCAGUAGCGCCAACGGGCGCCUGCAGCGCCGUAUAGGAGCUCCCCAAAAUCCAAGGGCCCAAGGUUGCCUUGCUUGGUUAUUAGGCCAUGCAUGUUGUGAUCAAGCCAUUUCUGACGUACGGGUCAAAUGUUGACUUACUCGGGCACCGUUGACGCUGACGUUCCAUGAUUAAACAUUAGGAGGUCUCGUUGCAAAUUUGACGAGUCUUUUUACAAGAGUUGUACAACUACAAACUCAUCGGAUGUUCACCGAGUUCGUUAGACUGCGGGUAUAUUCCACUAUCAGCAACUCCAUCUGGUUUUUUACUGAGCAGAUGUUCAACACGUCUGUGCUACAUAAACUUCCGAUUUUCAACAAAAAAAGAUUCUUUUUUAAGGGAUUCAACAUAAGAUUCCUAAUGAUGUGAUGCCCUUUUUUAUGAGUUUUGUGCAUGUGUGCUGUGAUUAGUAUUGUGUUGUAUAUGUUCGUAAAGAAGGGAGUGUUUUAGUUUAUAAUAUUAUCAAGGAGUAAAAAUUACAUAACCUAAAGAUACAAAAACAAUUGCUGGCAGUGCACCCACCAUCUCGUAAAAACCGAGCAAGUUCUCUCUCGAAACUUAAGGAUUACUGUUGUAGUUGAAACAGUAGGAAUUAAUCAAUCCUUAUUUCGUAUGUUCUCACUCUACAAAUAUGCCCCAUAUAAUUUUGUAAAUUGUGCAUGGCACGUGCUGAGUCACUAGUAGAAAAUGUGGCACUCUUGUUUGUUGAAUAAUUGUCACUUGAUUGCAGCCUUGACCGAAGUAGUAUGAAUCUAUGGGAGCAAUGAGGGAUACCAAGUGCUAAGAAAAUAGGCAAUUUUUUGACUAAUUUAAUCCAUAAGUAGAUAACUAGCAUGGCAUUGACAGAACUAACAACAUACUGGUACUGAUCUAAACGAGCACAUACUAUGCAAAUAGUAGACAAAUCUACACAUGAUGCUAGCACUGCUAAUACAGAAAUUAUCAUGAGAGGGAUAAACGCGGUAUACCCUCCAGUAGGCCAUGCAGUAGCCGCCGCCGCGGUGGCAGCAACAGAAGCGUCCUCGACGGCCUUCUUGUCGGCCUCGGUCUUCUCGGCGACGGCGCGUUCGGCGUCGCUGGACAUGGUGAUGACGGAGACGGCGCGGACGUAGAGGAAGUAGUGAAUCGGAGGCGAGCAGUCGCGUAGUCGCUUCCCAAAAACCUAUUCGUCUCUCUCCCGUACAGGAACCAGAGAGACGGAGUUUCGGAGACCUGCUCUUCCGUCGACCGUGUAUGCGGCGGACAGGAUGGAGUCACCGGCGACAGCAGCAGCAAAGGAACGACGGUCGGCGGUGCGCGUGGAGCAGAUGUGAUCUGAUCAUGGCGGCUAGGGUUAGGGGACACACCACACUUAUAUAGACGCAGCCGCGUGGAGAGACGUGGGCUUGACCCACGUCCGAGUCCGUGACAGCCCACGAUCCGACGUCUCGGAUCGUGGCCCUGCUGUCAGAACCUCUCCGUUAGUGACUGGCAAAAAUAAGCGCAUAGGUGUGAGCUCGGCUCGGCUCAUUCCCUCAACACGCAACCCGCGGCGCGGCGCGUCGUGACGAGGCGAGGCGUGCGGCGGAGGAGGAGCGCGUGAGGGCCUCUUCUCUUCUCAAGCUCCAAUAGCAUGUAGAAGAGCCACCCUUAUAAACCACUCCAACUUUCCUUCCACUAGCAUGGUGGGACUAAACUUCCCACCACCUUGUCAUGCCACCUACAUGGGCCCUUAGAGAUCAAAUCUGAAAUUGUCAUAUGGGCUCUAGGCCCAUCUCACAUUUCAACAAUCCCCCACCAGAUCUCAGGGGCCCACUUUGUCCUUUGUUCCAAACGCUGUUUUGAUAUACUAGUGUUUCAGUGAAGACCUGUUAAGGUUGAGCUUCACCUAGAGCAAGUAGCUACACUCCUUCAUAACUGAACAAUGGACUAUGUCUUGAAUUGUCAGUUUGGCGUAAAGAAGUUUCACCACAUGUCUUACUAGUACUGGGCUGCCGAAGGCUGACUCCUCGGGUGGAGCAUAUAAGUCACAGUCCUGGCCUAUUCAUGAGCUUACUAGAGAUCACCCCAAUCUCAUGGACUGUGACUAGCAGUCGGGCUCACAUAGGUGUGUUCCUCCAAAGAUCGCUCUGUAGGAUAGCAUCUUGCUUGUACAUAUAAGCCUUGGAACACAUUAAGACAGUAGUCAUCCUUCCAUACAGUUUCCGAGAGUAUUGCAUCUCCAACGGGGUGGGUUAGUAAAGUUACUCUCCUCAGUUCACCACUGGCUUGUUUCCCAGGUCCUACUUCACGGGAUCUCCGAUCACAUAGGUUGGGUUACCACCAUGGCAACCUAUGUGGGUCUCAUACCCAUCUCCCUCGAUGCACUAUCUAUCACUACACGUGAUAGCCCUUUCGUAAAGGGAUCUGCCAGAUUCUUAGCCGUAUGGACAUAGUCCAGCGCUAUCACUCCGGAGUUUCUUAAUUUUCUGACACCUUUUAAUCUCAUUCUUAUAUGUUUGUUGGACUUCAUGUUGUCCUUUGAACUCUUCACCUUGGUGAUGACAGUCUGAUUAUCACAGUUCAUAAGGAUAGCCGGAACCGGUUUAUCAACCAGUGGCAAGUCCAUCAAAAGAUCUCGAAGCCAUCCUGCUUCAACACCAGAAGUGUCUAAUGCUGUUAAUUCUGCUUCCAUUGUCGAUCUUGUUAAGAUCGUUUGCUUGCAAGACUUCCAAGAAACAGCACCACCUCCAAGAGUAAACAUAUACCCAGUUGUGGCCUUCAUCUCAUCAGCAUCAGAGAUCCAAUUCGCAUCACUAUACCCUUCAAGUACCGACGGGUCUCCGGUAUAGUGAAGUCCAUAGUUCAUAGUACCUUUCAGAUAGCGCAUAACUCUUUCAACAACAUGCCAAUGUACAUCACCGGGUUUGGAAACAAACCGGCUCAGUUUGCUCACAGCAAAUGCGAUGUCAGGCCUCGUUGCGCUCGCUAGGUACAUCAGUGAACCAAUGAUUUGAGAGUAUCUCAAUUGAUCUUUAGCCAUGCCUUUGGACUUUCUAAUCAACACGCUAGGAUCAUAUGGUGUUUGAGAUGGUGUGCAGUCCAAAUAUCCAAAAUGACUCAACACCUUCUCAACAUAAUGGGAUUGCAGAAGUGUGAUCCCACCCUCAUUAUCUCUCAGUAGCUUGAUGUUCAAGAUAACAUCAGCCACACCAAGGUCCUUCAUCUCAAAGUUCUGAGACAGAAACGAUUUGACCUCCUCAAUGACUUUGAGGUUUGUUCCGAAUAUCAGUAUGUCAUCAACAUACAAGCACAGUAUAACUCCUUCGCCCCCACCAUGGCGAUAGUAUACACAUUUGUCAGCCUCAUUAACAACGAAACCAACAGAUGUCAGAGUUGUAUUGAACUUAUCAUGCCAUUGCUUAGGUGCUUGCUUCAGGCCAUAUAAAGAUUUCAGCAACUUACACACCUUCCUUUCCUGACCAUCUAUCACAAAGCCAUCUGGCUGUUGCAUGUAGAUUUCCUCAUUUAGCUCUCCAUUCAGAAAAGCCGUCUUAACAUCCAUUUGAUGGACGAGAAGACCAUGUGAGGCCGCCAACGAGAGUAAUACUCGAAUGGUGGUCAGUCUAGCCACAGGUGAAUAAGUAUCGAAGAAAUCUUCCUCUUCUUUCUGGUCAUAGCCCUUGGCCACAAGCCUGGCCUUGUACUUUUCAAUCGUACCAUCUGGCCUAAGCUUUUUCUUGAACACCCACUUACAUCCCAAUGGUUUGCAACCAUAGGGACGCUCAGUGAUCUCCCAUGUCCCAUUAGCCAUGAUGGAAUCCAUCUGGCUACGGACCGCAUCCUUCCAGUAGUCAGCUUCUGGAGAGGCAUACGCUUCUGAGAUAGAAGUGGGAGUAUCAUCCACGAGGUACACGACGAAAUCAUCACCAAAGGUCUUUGCAAUCCUUUGUAUCUUGCCCCUACCAAGGGUUUCCUCGUCAUCCUCCUCAGGAUUUUCAUCAUGUGUUCGUUCAUAAUAUUCCAUAGAAAUGGCAGGCUCAGGAGUCUCCUCAGAUUCCUGUCUAGAAGUGCUUUGCAUAUCUCUCAUAGGAAAAAUAUCCUCAAAGAACGUAGCAUCCUUAGACUCUAUGAUUGUACCGACCUUCUGGUCAGGUAACUCAGAUUUCACUACUAGAAAUCUAUAGCCAACGCUGUUCUUAGCGUAGCCCAAAUUAACGCAGUCCACAGUCUUGGGUCCAAGCUUACGCUUUUUGGGGAUCGGCAUGUUGACUUUCGCCAAGCAGCUCCAAGUAUGCAAGUACGAGAGUGUUGUCCUUCUCUUUGCCCAUCUCUCAUAGGGAGUGAUCUCGUUAUCCUUUAUCGGAACUUUAUUCAGGACAUGACAUGCCGUCAAUAUAGCCUCCCCCCACCAUGCCUUGGAUAAACCCGACGUAUCUAACAUGGCGUUAACCAGAUCAGUUAGAGUAGGUUUUUCCGCUCGGCAACCCCGUUUGACUGGGGUGAAUAGGGAGGCUUCCUCUCAUGAAUAAUGCCGUGUUCCGCACAGAAGGAAUCAAACUCACUCGAGAAGUACUCUCCACCACGAUCUGAACGGAAUCGUUUAAUUUUCUUUUCAAGUUGAUUCUCAACUUCUGCCUUAUAGAUUUUAAAGUAGUGUAGAGCCUCAUCUUUAGUAUUUAACAGAUACACAUAGCAAUAUCUAGUGGAAUCAUCUAUCAAUGUCAUGAAGUAUUUCUUUCCACCUUUAGUCAAUACACCGUUCAUCUCACAAAGAUCAGAAUGUAUGAGUUCUAAUGGUGCCAAGUGUCUCUCCUCCGCAGCCUUGUGAGGCUGGCGAGGUUGCUUAGCUUGCACACAUGACAGGCACUUAGAACCUUUGACUAAAGUGAAUGCCAAACCUCAGAUUCAUUAACACUCGAAUGAAUAUGGUUCAUGACUUUAUUACAGAAAUCUGCGAGGGAAAGGCGGAACAUCCCUCCGCUCUCAUAACCUUUUCCAACAAAUAGUCCAUACUUAGUAACAACUAAUUUAUUAGACUCGAAUACCAACUUAAACCCUUCUCUGCAUAGAAGGGAGCCACUAACGAGGUUCUUCUUGAUGGCGGGGACAUGCUGCACGUUCUUCAGCUGCACGAUCCUUCCCGAAGUAAACUUCAGAUCGACCGUGCCAACACCAUGAACAGAAGCACUCGUGCCAUUGCCCAUCAAUACGGACCCGUGGCCUGUGACCUGGUAAGAAGAGAACAAUGAAAUGUCAGCACACACAUGAACACCUGCACCUGUAUCCACCCACCAAUCGGUAGGCUGAAACACUGAAAAAACAGUAAAUAAAUUACCGUACCCAGAUGCAUCAUUCUCAUUGUUGCCCACAAUCAUGUUGACAGACUUGGAGUCAUGUCCUAACUUCUUAAACUUGUUUGGGCACUUGUUGGCCCAAUGUUCAGCCGAACCACAAGUAAAGCAGCCCUCAUCCUUCUUGUUCUUCUUGAAGGUCUUCUUACCCUUCUUCUUGAAGUCGGUGUUCUGUUGGACACCGUUCUUUCCCUUAAACUUGUGGGAGUUGAAGUUCCUCUGGUUCACCAUGUUGGCAACAGAAGUCCCUUCGGCCCCUUUUCCGUGCGAGUCCUUUGCCCUCGAAUUCUGCUCAACACUCAGAUGGACAAUGACAUCCUCCACAGAGAAUUCACGCCUCUGAUGUUUCAGAGUGGUGGCAAACUUCCUCCAGGAAUUGGGGAGCUUAGCGAUUAUGCAGCCCGCGACAAACUUGCCCGGUAACUUGCACUUCAGAAGCUCAAGCUCCUUAACAAUGCAUAUUAUCUCAUGAGCCUGCUCCAGUACAGGACGGUUCUCAACCAUCUUGUAAUCGUGGAACUGCUCUAUAAUAUACAUCUCGCUCCCUGCAUCGGCGGCCCCGAACUUAGAUCCGAGCGCCUCCCACAAGUCCUUGGCGACAUGCACAUGUAAAUAUGCGUCGACCAGUUUAUCUCCGAUCACGCUAAGAACUGCUCCGAGAAACACAGUGGUUGCCUCCCUGAAUGCCUUCUCCUGUUCAGUAGCAAUCGUUCCCGUGGACACACCGGUGACCUAGAACACGUUCAUAGCCGUGAGCCAUAAAGUGGUCUUUGUCUGCCAACGCUUAAAAUACGUACCGGUAAACUUAUCCGGUUUCAGUGCUGCGGCAAAGCCACUUGCCGAAAAAUUCCUACACAUAAUAGGUUUUUGGAUUGCUAAGAAAAUAGGCAAUUUUUCGACCAAUUUAAUCCAUAAGUAGAUAACUAGAAUGGCAUUGACAGAACUAACAACAUACUGGUACUGAUCUAAACGAGCACGUACUACGCAAAUAGUAGACAAAUCUACACAUGAUGCUAGCACUGCUAAUACAGAAAUUAUCAUGAGAGGGAUAAACGCGGUAUAACCUCCAGUAGGCCAUGCAGAAGCCGCCGCCUCGGUGGCAGCAACAGAAGCGGCCUCGGCGGCCUUCUUGUCGGCCUCGGUCUUCUCGGUGGCGGCGCGUUUGGCGUCGCUGGACAUGGUGAUGACGGAGACGGCGCAGACGUAGAGGAAGUAGUGGAUCGGAGGCGAGCAGUCGCGUAUUCGCUUCCCAAAAACCUAUUCGUCUCUCUCCCGUACAGGAACCAGAGAGACGGAGUUUCGGAGACCUGCUCUCCCAUCGACCGUGUACGCGGCGGACGGGAUGGAGUCACCGGCGGCAGCAGAAGGAACGACGGUCGGCGGUGCGCGUGGAGCAGAUGUGAUCUGAUCGUGGCGGCUAGGGUUAGGGGACACAACACACUUAUAUAGACGCAGCCGCGUGGAGAGACGUGGGCUUGACCCACGUCCGAGUCCGUGACAGCCCACGAUCCGACGUCUCAGAUCGUGGCCCUGCUGUCAGAACUUCUCUGUUAGUGACUGGCAAAAAUAAGCGCAUAGGUGUGAGCUCGGCUCGGCUCAUUCCCGCAACCCGCAACCCGCAACCCGCGUCGUGACGAGGCGAGGCGAGGCGAGGCGAGGCGGGCGGCGGAGGAGGAGCGCGCGAGGGCCUCUUCUCUUCUCAAGCUCCAAUAGCAUGUAGAAGAGCCACCCUUAUAAACCACUCCAACUUUCCUUCCACUAGCAUGGUGGGACUAAACUUCCCACCACCUUGUCAUGCCACCUACAUGGGCCCUUGGAGAUCAAAUCUAAAAUUGUCAUAUGGGCUCUAGGCCCAUCUCACAUUUCAACACCAAGUUCCAAGACAAAUACGCCAUCCUCACAUGAAGUGAAAUUGUUCAUUGCAUGCAUUGCUCGAAACAGGCUUUCGCCCCCCCUUUAUAAAUAAAGGCACAAACCAAACAAGGUACACGGCCGAGCGAUACACCUCUUCCAUAGCCAAGUAGAAUCAUAUCCUAUUACCCUACCUUUUUUUAUCAAGACGAGACACCUUCACGGCUCCAUUCUAGUGAAAUGUGUUAGCUUGAUCUCUCCACCAAUGGGUCCAACGGCUCAUUGGGCCCUUGACCCACGCCCUGAUCGGGGGCAUCCAGCCCACAUAAGGCUGGUGGGCCCCUAUCGCGCAGUGCAAUAAAGAGGAGGUGGGGACCAUGGGCACGGGGUACGAGGUUCAACACCGCCACUGUUACCCCACUCCUAACCCUAAUCCGAUCUAGAGGGAGGCGCUGAAGCGACGGGAAGCCCACCGACGCCACCACUCUCUGCCAUCACCGGCCACCUCACCAUGGCCGGCACCGGGAGCUCCUCCACUGCAGGAGAAGGUAGCCACUCUUUCUCCUCUCAUCUCUCUGUGAUCCUCUCCUCACAGAUGAAACAGAUGCAUAGACAAUGUAUAUACAGAUUGAUCUAUCCUGUAUUCCUAGCCUACACGAUUCAUAGAACAUAACAAUGGUAUCAGACAGAUUAGGCUAAGAUUAUAUGUACAAAAAAAAAGAACAGAGAAAGAAAAAAGAUCCUCCCCAAAGAACCCUAGCAGGGCAGAGCAAAGAAAUUAAAAAAAAGUAAACUGGAGAAGGCCUUGGGCCGCCGGCAAAGUGCGCCGCCACUCCGGCCGCGCCUCUUCCUCUUGAUCCCGUCGCGCAUCGGCAAGCCGAGGCGACAGGGACGAAGAACCUACCUCGAAAAGGGCAAAGAGCACCGUGGCCAAACUGCUCGACAGCGGCGUGCUCACCGCAAGGUGGACGCACAGCCGGCGAGGGGGAAGGCCACGGCGCCACAGACGUCCGCUCCGCCGCCCUCGGGCGCACAGGGGAGCAGAGGAGGGCUCUGCCCGCGUCUCCCUCUCUGUCGCAGGAAGUGGAAUGAGAAAGAAAAAAAAGGGAAGGGAAAGAGAAGGCGGCGCGCACUGCGCGGUGGCUACCACCAUCGGCGGCCGGGGCGGGCAGCCGAGCCGUCGCCGUUGACGUCUAGUGACGCAUCACCUCUCCCUCUCCCUAUCUCAGCAUCAGAAGAGAAGGGGUAGAGGAAAAUAGGAGUAGGCGAGGCGUCGUGCGGUGGCAGCCAUCGCUGGCGGCCAGGCUGUUGGAGUCGCUCCGACGGGAGAAGGAGCAGAGAGACGAGAGAGAGAGAUCGAGGCGAUACGAAUGGUGGCGCUAGGUUUCGAUCGGGAGGAACCCUCCCAGUUUUGUUCGACCGAAAACGGUGCUGGACCGUCGAUCUCAUCGGACGGCAGGGAUGGAAACCCUAGCCCGCCAGUGGGCCUCUGGGCCGAAAGGCUGGCAGCGACUGCAGCGCGCGGGGUGCUGGCCCCAGGGCCGCAGCCACGCCUGGGCUGAGGCUGGCUCGCACGAGCGCGCGGAGGAGCAGGCCAUGGGCCGCUGCUGGCCUCACGCGCCAGGCCGAGGCCGGCUGUGACUGCCGUCUUUUACUGGUUUUUUUGUCCAUUUUUUGGGGCACAUUUUAUACAGUUUUUUUUCUUUUCAAAAUUUUUCCAACGAAAUUUUUUGUUUAGAAAAUAGAAAGGUAAACAGAAAAAGUUUCUGAGAAUGAAAAUUUUCAGAAAAGGAAAUGUUCAUGAAUUUUAUAAAGAAAAUAAUAAAGUUCAUGAAUUUUUUAUUUUGUCAAAGAAAAGUUUCUGUAAAGAAUUAAAAGUUCAUGAAUUUUUAUUCAUGUUUUUCCGCUGCAUAAAUAAUUAAUAGUGCUCUUUUACAAACAAAGUAAAAGUUUUAUCCUCCAAUUAAAUUGGGACCAACAGGAAAAUUUAAUUGGAAGUACGGUUUUUGAGAGAAGUUUUUUCACUUGUGUGUGAAAUCAGAUUCAGAUAGCUUCUGCUAUGACAGUAGAAAGAUAUUUGAUUAAAGUUUAAUUAUGGUAUUGUUAUUUUCGGACCAACGUUGAAGAUGACAAUAUUAUAAUUCAAUGAGUCUUAUAGUUAAAAGUUCAAAUCUCUGAUAAAUUUUGUAUCAAUGACCAAUUUUCAGAGAAUUUGAUAAAGAUUGAGAAAUGUAUAUUGCUAGUUUUCCGCUGCAAUAAAGUUGAUAAUGAUGAUUAUUUUCUUAGCAAAGUUACUUAAUAGAAAUUUUAUCAUCACAUUAUUUAUGAGUUAUACGCGUUUUUUCCAUUUCUACCCAACGGUAGUGACGAAUUAAUGUAAAAAGGUGAUGUUUUAUUAUAAUUCUGCCACAACGGUGAUUUAGAAUAUAAAAGAAAGUUUCAAAAGUUUAAUGUGCAUAUUAUUUUUUUAACCAGACCAACGUAGGGUUAUUUUUUAUGCUCAUUAUUGUUGAUUAUUGGCUAAUUUUUGUCAAACUAAAAGUUUUCCAUGCCUUCAUUCGUGAAAGCGAAUGGCUAGGUACUUGUGACCCGAAAGAUGACCAAGAAAGGUCAUAACGCGAGGGAGUAUGUUCUCUCUAAAGAAUGGCCUCAAAAGAAAAGAGAUAGAACAUUGAGAGUCUUGGUUGACGAAUGUCUUUCAUGUACUCUCUAUGAAGAAGAUUUUUUAGUCAACACGAUUUGAGUUGAAACAACCAAUAUGUGUGUUUAAUUUGACCAACGUCGAGUCAAACAUGUGUGUCAAAGAGCAGUCGGAUUUAUUCCUAUAUUUGAUGAUUGAAUAUGCAGUCAAAAGAGCCAAUUCUGACAUUUAUGUCCCGUAUAGGGAAUUACCUGCAUGGCGGGAAAAGAUGAUUAUGAUAAACCCGCAUGGCAGGAAAAGACUGGGAAAAUUCCUGUGUAACCCGUAUGGCGGCAGAAACUUUCUGAGACUUAUCCUGUAUGAUAGGAAAAAAGAUGUGACGACUCAUAUGUUUUUCCAGUGAAUCCCAAUUUGGGAGAAAAGUAUGGAGUAGCCCUUAUGCUAUCCUAGUGUCGACCGUGCACUUUUAAGUGUCAUAGUCAUUAAGAAAUCAAUAAAUCCAAAGAGAAUAAAAGUUACAGACGAACCUAAAGAUAAGAAUGAUAUGCAAGCGUGACUUACAAAAGUACUAAUGAUAAAGAACUCUGUAGAGUUUAUGAAAUGGAAUAAGAUAAAAGUACUCCCAUACCAGUUAACAGAUAACUUGAUUACGUAUGAAGUAAUCAGAUAAAUGAAGUGGAUAAUCGAAGUUUCCUCAAUUCACAAGAGUUGUGAAUGGUUUUUCGAAAUUGUGGCAGAAAAGUUCUUGCCACAUUUCGAGGGGGAGAAAGAAAUAUGAGAUAUCCAUUAAUGAAUAAUGUGAUCGUCUAGGGGAGUACGACGAUCAUAAUAAUACCCCUAAAGAAAAGAAAUAGUUGUAUUCCUGGAUCUUUUACAGUUUCGAAAGGAGACUAAGGAAUACUAAGACGGUGCUUAAAGUGCCAUAAAGAAGAAGUUUUAAUAGAAUAAACUCAAAUAAUAAAGUUUAAAGAUACGACAUUUUUAGUGAAGAUGGAGUAAUCUGGGGGAGCAUGUUGUAUGACCUAUACAACACCUGUUUUUUUUCCUCUAUAAAGGAGGAAUGAGUAAACAUGGAUCUUGUGAUAAAGGUCCCUGUAGAACCUAUUGCCUCUUGGAAAUGAAAGACUAUAAAUUAAUUUGCCUCUUAGCAAUGACAGAAGAACAACAACCCCAUAUGAAAGAAGUGCCAACCUGAGACACAAACGGUCUCAAGGAAUGAGAAAAUCAGAUACUUUUGAUUACUAUAAAGUCUAUGUUAAUGGAGGUAGAUCCUACCUCAUUUAAAUCGCUCAGUUGAGUUUUGAGAAGUGUUUGUUUGUCUAAAUGAUAAGAGACUAUGUGAGAUGAAAUAAAAUUGGUGAAUCCCGACGAUGUUUUGGAUUCAUAAGUAAUUUCCAAUGGAGCCAAAACAGUAGGCUCUAAAGGGUCUACAAGGUCAAUGUGACUCCAAAGGAAAUACGUAGAAGUGUAAAACAUGACUUAAAUCGAAAGGUUUUUGCGCGUUUACACUGAAUAGAUUACAAUAAGUGUUGGUAGCACAUCAUGAUCUGAGUUAUAUCAGAUGAAAGAUAUUAUGAUCUAAGUUACAUCAGAAGAAAGAAAAGAACAUAGGGGAUACAGCCUGAAGAAGUCUUUUAUGGACUAAAGCAAUCAAAUGUUGUUUUGGGUUAAAGAAAAUGAGAGGACAGUUGUAUCCAUGCAAAGUUAUAGAAUGGGAAAUUCAAUUCAUAAUCCUGUGCAUGUGAAUGACGUCCUACUUGCUAGUGGUCAUGUCAAUCUAAUGCAGGAGAAGAAAAGAAGUUGUUGUUCUCAAAAUUCAAAAGAAUGUUCUCGGUAGAGUGUCUCUCGUUAUAAUUAUCGAGAUUCACCAAGAAAAAAAUAAAAGGGGUAUUAGUAAUGUCGCAUGGACAUGCUUAGAAAGGUCUCUAAAGUAGGCAUGCGAGAAAGCCUACACAUGUUCUUAUAGUCAAGGGUAAUGGAACUGGAAACUAUGGUGUUCCAAAAGUUGAUGAGAAAAAGAUUGAAAACAGAUAUGGUACCAUAUGCUUCAGCUGUUGAAGCUCAAUAUAUUACCAUGACACAGUUCACGUAUCUGGGUUGUUUUGGCAAUGUCCAUUCCAUAAAUAGAUCACUGGAAUGGACUCAAAUAUAUCAGCCUCAUGCUGAAAGAAAUAAGUGCUCUCAAAAGAUUGUGAGUACAAAGAUAGGAGUUGUGAAAUGUAUAGCGAAAUCCACAAUUGUCGCUAAUUUUCACACUUGGAGUUUUGGUGUGGAAAAGCUCUAAAGAAUGAAAUAAUUAACAUCAAUGUGAUGCAAAAUAUGUUGUAGCUUGAUAUGAGGCUGAGGGACAGGCAAAAUGGUUAAGUAUACCUGUACCCAGAGUUGAUAAUGGUUGACCACGGCGAUAACCAUUUUAAGUUUUUCCCUCCUAUGACAACGAGUCAAGUGUUGACGCCAAACACACUGACAUAGAGUUAUGCAUUGUAAAGGAGAAAGUCCGGAAUUAUGUAAAAUGUGUGAAGUAUAAAAGCAACAGAAAAGUGUUUGUAGAUCUGCUUAUUAAAGGCUUGCCGCCCAGUGUGUUCAGGGAACACAUAGUCGACAUGGGUUUUAUGGUAUAGUCUAAAAUUUCCGGACAAUAAAAGGGUUAAAGAAUCUGUUUCAAAAUAGAGGAGUGUGUUGUAGGUGUUGAUUCUAUCGGGAAUGAACCGUGAUGAUGAGACUGUUGGAAAUAUGCCCUAGAGGCAAUAAUAAAAGGAUUAUUAUUAUAUUUCCUUGUUUGUGAUAAUUGUCUUUUAUUCAUGCCAUAAUUGUAUCAUCCGGAAAUCGUAAUGCACGUGUGAAUACAUAGACCACAAUAUGUCCCUAGUGAGCCUCUAGUUGACUAGCUCGUUGAUCAACAGAUAGUCAUGGUUUCCUGACUAUGGACAUUGGAUGUCAUUGAUAACGAGAUCACAUCAUUAGGAGAAUGAUGUGAUGGACAAGACCCAAUCCUAAGCAUAACACAAGAUCGUGUAGUUCAUUUUGCUAGAGCUUUUCCAAUGUCAAGUAUCUUUUCCUUAGACCAUGAGAUCGUGUAACUCCCGGAUACCGUAGGAGUGCCUUGGGUAUACCAAACGUCACAACAUAACUGGGUGACUAUAAAGGUGCACGAUAGGUAUCUCCGAAAGUGUCUGUUGGGUAGACACGGAUCGAGACUGGGGUUUGUCACUCCGUAUGACGGAGAGGUAUCUCUGGGCCCACUCGGUAAUGCAUCAUCAUAAUGAGCUCAAAGUGACCAAGUGUCUGGUCACGGGAUCAUGCAUUACGAUACGAGUAAAGUGACUUGCCGGUAACGAGAUUGAACAAGGUAUUGGGAUAACGACGAUCGAAUCUCGGGCAAGUAACGUACCGAUUGACAAAGGGAAUUGUAUACGGGGUUGCUUGAAUCCUCGACAUCGUGGUUCAUCCGAUGAGAUCAUCGAGGAGCAUGUGGGAGCCAACAUGGGUAUCCAGAUCCCGCUGUUGGUUAUUGACCGGAGAGCAGUCUCGGUCAUGUCUGCGUGUCUCUCGAACCCGUAGGGUCUACACACUUAAGGUUCGGUGACGCUAGGGUUGUAAAGAUAUUAGUAUGCAGCAAACCGAAAGUUGUUCGGAAUGGUCCGGAGGUAAAGGAUUAUAUAUGGGAAGUCGAGUUUCGGCCAUCGGGAAAGUUUCGGGGUUCACCGGUAUUGUACCAGGACCACCGGAAGGGUCCCGGGGGUCCACCGGGUGGGGCCACCUAUCCCGGAGGGCCCCAUGGGCUGAAGUGGGAGGGGAACCAGCCCCUAGUGGGCUGGUGAGCCCUCCCCCUGGGCCCCCCUCUGCGCCUAGGGUUGGGAACCCUAGGGGAGGGGGCGCCUCCACUUGCCUUGGGGGGCAAGUUUCCCCCCUUGGCCCUCGCCCCCCUAGGAGAUCCCAUCUCCUAGGGUCGGCGCCCCCCCUGGGGUCCCGUACACCUGGCGCCUCCCUUCCCCCUUGCUACACCUCUUCCUCUCGUAGUCACUUGGCGAAGCCCUGCCGGAUCCCUGCUACAUCCACCACCACGCCGUCGUGCUACUGGAUCUUCAUCAACCUCUCCUUCCCCCUUGCUGGAUCAAGAAGGAGGAGACGUCACGCUGACCGUACGUGUGUUGAACGCGGAGGUGCCGUCCGUUCGGCGCUAGGAUCUCCGGUGAUUUGGAUCACGACGAGUCCGACUCCCUCAACCCCGUUCUCUUGAACACUUCCGCUCGCGAUCUACAAGGGUAUGUAGAUGCACUCCUCUCUCUCGUUGCUAGAUAAACUCAUAGAUUGAUCUUGGUGAACGUAGGAAUUUUUUUAUUUUAUGCAACGUUCUCCAACAGAGACAUGCUCUACAUGCAAAUCUGUGAUGGAACGAGUACAUUGAAAAGAGUUAUUUCAAAGUAUAAAGUUAAAAAUAUAAUGAUGAGAUCAAGGGGGAGAAUGUUAGGUUGAUCUCUCCACCAAUGGGCCCAACAGCUCAUUGGGCCCUUGACCCACGCCCUGAUCGGGGGCGUCCAGCCCACACAAGGCUGGUGGCCCCCUGUCGCGCAGUGCUAUAAAGAGGAGGUGGGGACCAUGGGCACGGGGUACAAGGUUCGUCGCCGCCACUGUUACCCCACUUCUAACCCUAAUCCGAUCUAGAGGGAGGCGCUGAAGCGACGGGAAGCCCACCGACGCCACUACUCUCUGCCAUCACCGGCCACCUCACCAUGGCCGGUACCGGGAGCUCCUCCACUUCAGGAGAAGGUAGCCACUCUUUCUCCUCUCAUCUCUCUGUGAUCCUCUCCUCACAGAUGAAACAGAUGCAUAGACAAUGUAUAUACAGAUUGAUCUAUCCCGUAUUCCUAGCCUACAUGAUUCAUAGAACACAACAAAAUGAAACCAUGAUGUCUUACAGAAAGGAAAAAAUUAGUUUUUUUCGAGCUAUGCUAGGUUUAGAGUGGAACCAAUGCCUAAACAUCCAUGUGAAAACAUCUUUUGACAAGCUAGCAUGGAAAAGGCAAUCAGGGGGGGGGGAUAAGGAACACAUGAGCACAACCCUCUCAUCAUUAGGAUGUGAAUAUCAUCAUCUUGGUGAACGAGAAGAUAUUGCACCAUGAUCACGACGACGGUCGUUGGGAGAGGGCAAGUUCCUGUCUCAAGAAGUAGGAUUUUGGGAGCGGGAUUGGGAUUAGAAUGACAGGUCUAAAAUGCAUAUAUUGGCUGCCUGGGAUGGGGACAUGGAAGGACGGUUUUGGGAGUGAAGGUCUUUGGGUGCUUCGGCUAGAGUGGGUUAAACCCCCAAAAUGACAUUUUUUGGCUCAAUCUGUUUGGAAUCGAUUAGAGUUGUCUUGAGCUCGGGGGACGCCAUCUCCUAGUCAGACUUACUCAAACCUUUGGUGAAACCAUGCAAGUAUAUGUCUAGUGUUCUUUGUUAAUGUUUUGAUCAAGCUUAAUUAGCUUAUAUUCAUGCAUGGAUGCAUCUUUAACAAAAGCGUGAAUAUGUUGACAACUUGCUAAAUGUGGCCCGAGUUUGAUCAGUGUCAUCACUCAACCCUGAGUUGGACGAUGCUAGCUCAAGCUCGUGCUUCAGUCUCCUGAUUGCAAGACACUACCGUUAAGCAUGUAAGCAAUUUGCCAUGUCUUCGGGGUCUCUUGAAAUACGGUGUACCUUCUUUGCAACAGGAAAAGUGAGAUACUUGGUGUCAAACAAAUUCGUUUGUUGACUGGUUGAUGCCAUAUACAAACGUAUCAAAUUAAUUAACUUUGUGAUAUUUUUAACUGGACAGUAUUUGAUUGCCUUGCAAAGUGAAAUCUCCCUCACAAACACUUCUGUACCCUCUGCAAUGUCACGCAUGAAGACACUGAUCAUAUGUUGGUUAGUUGUUCUAUAACCAACAUCACCUGGAACCGGAUUCUUUACUAGAUUAGCCUCCCACAUGUUGCUCAUGUCAUCGGUUCAUCUUUUAAGGAUUGGUGGUAUACUGCUAUCAUGUAGGGGACCUUGAUUGCUGACAACAAGAUGUUAAAUUCAAUAGGAAUUUUGGUCAGCUGCUGGAAGGAACACAACAAUAGGGUGUUUGAACAGGUACUGCUCAUUAGAUCGUUUGGUACAUCAAAUCCAAGAGGAGGUUUUACACUGGAGCAAGGCUGGAGCUAAAUGCUUGGACCCCUUUUUUCUCCUUGGUGUUGUCUUGUGUCAAGUUAGAACUUCCCUUGUUUCUUAGCGGCUGCAUCUACACAUCAUUUUGUUAGAAGGGGUGCUGGUUGUAGCCUUGUUCUGAACCUUGUGAUACUCUCUGGGUUUGUUUGGAUCGGUGCCAUCAUUUGCUUUACCAAAUUUUUGGUGUUGGCUAAUCCAUUGGCGUCCAUUUGUAUGGGCUCCAAUAAAUUGGCUCGCGCAAAUCCUAGCAGCCUCCCCCGCUCAUUCCACAACCAAUUUGUUGGGGAGACUUGGCGUUUAUUCUUUUCGCCAGAAUAUCGAUGUGCCGAUGGUUGGCAAGGACACCACGAGCAAGAACUAAACAGACCCUAUACUCUCUUUUCUUAUUCUAUAUAUUUCUCAUGCAAUUCUCCUAUAUGAUUCAAAAAAAUGUUGAUCGGCUCUUUGAAAAGUGAAAAACAAAAGGCCAAGCCAAAUCUCAUGACGUUUCCUUGUUCGAAUCGUCCGCGGUCAACACCUUGUACUAGUCGGCUUUUAAAAUCACCAUUUUUAACUCUUAUGACAUUCAUCAUACGAUUGAGAUGUUCUUUGAUCCUGAUUUUUCUAGAACAGUUGUAGUGCGUCCAAAUUCCAAAUUAAUUAGCCGUGUGCAUAAUUUGCUAGGUCUUGAAGCUCUCUUUCAAUGGCUCCACUGGAUAGGUACUUGAUCGGUCGGCGUUCGCCAGUUAGCAAGUCAGCAGGUGGAUUCCAAGUAUGUAUGCUAGUUGUUCUAUCAACUAUUCAUUCAACUUCUGCACACAUGCAUUACAAUGAGGUUUGGAAGGCUUGGACCCCACCGACACUCGAAAUUCUUUGCUUCGCACGCGCUUCAUGAUAGGAUCUGGACUGCUGACAGAUUGGAGAAGCGAGGAUGGGCUAACUAUGGCCUUUGCCCCUUGUGCCGACGGGUGCAGGAAUGUGGCCCUCAUCUUUUCUUCAGAUGCCACUUCACUCUCAAGCUUUGGACCAUGGCUAUUCAGAAAUUUCGCAUCCACGACAUGGACACGUCCAUAUGGCACUUGUUCGACUCCGUUCAGGCCCGGUGGGCGAGCACAUGCACCAUGGGCACCACCGACAGAAAAGCAAAGGUAUCGAUUACCAUGCUAGUGUCACGGGUCAUUUGGAAUGAGCGCAACGCAAGAGUGUUCAGGCAAAAGAGCGCACCUCUGCAAAUCUUGCUCAACACCAUUGUCAACGAGGCAAACCUUUGGAUCAAAGCUGGGGCAAAGAAACUAGGGUCUUUUUUAUUGCGAGAAUAAUUGCCAUACCGUAACUUGGGUGUGUGUUGCAACAAACUCUCUCCGCCUUAUUUAAUAUAUGAGGCAAAUCUUUUGCCUCCGUUUUAAAAAAAGAGAGUAGCAACGUGCCUGAUCGGCCUGCACAACGUUGCCACUGUUACAUCAAGGAUGAACCGAUCAUAAUCAUCAAUAUUUAAUCUGAUAUUGCAACUGUGCAAAUUUCCAACCGUGGGUACGAUCUGUGGGAGAGGAAAAGGAUACGGGCGAGAAGUAAUUGAUCAGCUAAAGUCAGCAGCUUUUCCACAUGAAAAUCUUGUUUGAACAAUUCAUACUAAAGAUAUAGGGUAAUUGAUCCAUGUGACCACCAAAUAAAAUAGACUGUGAUGUAUACAAAUAAAAGAAAACCACAUGGUUAUGUUCUAUGACCAGCUUAUGACAGUGUGCAUCAAUUGAUCCGAAGAAUCCGUGACAAAGAUCUAGGGUAAUAAAUCAUCCGAACACCAAAUAAAACGGACAGCGACGCACAAUGAAAAGAAAAAAAAACCUAGGUUAAGUACUUAAAUUUCUCCAGCCGGCGUCACUCUGGAUUGCAGAGAUGUCUAUCUCUGCAUUCUUUAGAUUACUCAACCUGCUUAAUAUAUGGGUGGUUUUCGAUCAUUCAAACACCGGGCGCAUGAUUAUGUAAAAAUUACUAGCGUUUAGCGGAAACGCUGCAUGCCGGGGAUGAGAACUCCUAAGAAUCCAGCAUCAACUCCAGUCUGGCCGCAGAUUUAAUCACAGCACGCCCUCACAUAACAUCUGUUCUAGAAUGUGGCCCGUGGAGGGUAUAGAAGUAAUGCACCUAUUGAUCUUUUCUGUUUGACGUGUGUGUUUGUAAAUUUUAAUCUGAGCUAUAUGUAAUCGUUUUCACGGCUACUUUGUUCUCUCAGUAAACACGUCUUAUUUAACUUGACACAAUGAUCCUGCGUUCACACCCUGAUCAUGCCUUCUAGCUCUGUCCUAAUCAUGCCCUGAUCAUGCCUCCAUUUCCAAAAAAGCUCUAUCCUAAUCAAGCUCACAUCACGGAGAUUAAUUCUUCCCAUUUCUCUAAGAGGACCUUUUGGUGAACUCAGAAUUUUUCAUGUUAUGCCAUAGGAGAUUCCAUCUAUCCGGUAGUUUUCAGCACAGCUGUGUCGAGAGGAAAUUUUGGCGGGUCAGAUGUAGUUGUCUCUGUCCAAAGAUGUUUGCCUGCCCCUUCCAGGCUAAUAAGAUCACCAUCACCUUAAUUUCGGCUUCACUUGUCAUCUCGAUCGGCAGGCAUGGCCGGCCAUACGACCCUGGCCCACGCAGCUACCCACUGGUACGAUUCUGUUUGGGAUGAAUUUCCUGGAAAUUGCUAAUGUUUUGGAUAAGCAUUUGUAAGAAAGGGACACGGUUGAUGGUCAUCUGCAAUUAAGCUGCUGCUGGCUGGAGAAAAGCUACUAGUCCUGCGGAAAGUUUUGGUCUGCAUGGCGGCCUGACUAAUUCUACACAUGCAUAGCCCAAGUAUGCUGGGUAACUUUUACGUCGACAAUGAAUUAAUCUGUGCUCCUUGUACGAAUAUAAGGUAAUUCAGGCCGAUCGAGCAAGCAGAUAACCAUGAGAGCGAUCGUGUAAUUAUCUCGAGAUAAAUAAAUUCUCCAUGCACGGUUGAACCAAGCUUCUUGGCUGCAUUAUAGAGCAGCAGAGUAAUACUAGUAGUGUAUUGUAAGUUCGCCUGUAAAGUAAAGCACAUGUCAUGAUCGUGGAAGUGCCAUCUCACGUUAAGACUCCGAGGUUUUAGCUAACCACCAAUGAUCACUAAUCAAGUAAUCAGUUGACUAAGAUGCAGCACUACCUAGCCUAAUUAUAAGGUUCCUAAUUCACUAAUCGGUUGUAUUUCAGAAAUUCUGAAACUGAAUUGCUAGUUCUUGGUUGAUCCUUGGGUGGAGCAAAUUAACCCGUGGAAUAAAUUUGCACUGUUGACUGCUCAGCCCACAAUGACACAUCACACGUACAUGCAUAUGCUGAUCUGAGUCUGACUGUACAUACACGCGAUGACAAGGACGAUCGACAUGGUUUUGUUUUCCUGUGAUUUAGCUGAAGGAAUUCCACGCAAGCAGUAAUCCAAUGAUGGAGCAAGUACUACUUCCUACACUAGUUGCCACUAAAUAACAAAAUGGUUAGGCACGACGAUAGUACGAGAGGCGACGCGAAAGGUGGCCGGUCCGAGUCACGCCCUAUUCACUAACGCAGCUACGUACGUGCCCGAUUUAGAGAUGUCGGUGUCCUCGAUAAAACAAUACGUGCCGGUAGUACGAUAAGAGCAUGCUAGUGAGUGGUUUCCACCGAAGAUGGAGCUUCUGGUUUGUUUUCUAAGAAUACUAGAUUGGUUUCUUUUGAGAAAGAUAAUAUGCAUGAGCUCAGCUCUUGCAGCAUGUGAUGUGUUGCAGAUGGAACAUAGCUGUGGCCCACCGUCAAAGAGGACUUCUGCGCCGCGUUCAGCAAGCUGUUCUCGAUGAAUGGCAGGGGAUUUCAGCGAAAUCACUAAUCAAGGAAUACUCUUACUCCAACUCCCCCAGGUUGCGAUAAGUGGCGCGCUGCAUGUGCGCCACUUGUCGCAACAUGUGAGUUUUCCUUUUUUUUCGUAGAUCCGUUUAUUCAAAAUGUUUUAUCUCUUAAACCGUGCGUCCAAAUCUCGAACGGCUUUCGCCAUUGUAUUCCUCGCGUCGAGAUCUUCAAAACUAGAUCUCAUGUUUAUAGGUUUUGACGAAUUUUUUUUUAACGAAAAACCCAGACGAAAAAAACCGACGAAAAAACCGAACCGGGAACACGGUUUUUUUCCCUUUCCGAAAGAGGCACGCCCGUGCCUCUGACGAAAUUACAACCGUGCUCGCGGAAACAAAAAGAUGCCUCUCACGAAAGAAAAAAAACAGAAAACGCGUUUUUUUUCUUUUCCGAAAGAGGCACGCCCGUGCCUCUCGCGAAAGCACAAAUGUGCCUAAACCGUGCCUCUCGUGAAAGAAAAAAACAGAAAACGCGUUUUUCCCUUUUCGAAAGAGGCACGCCCGUGCCUCUCGCGAAAGCACAACCGUGUCUCUGGCGGAAGCAAAACCGUGUCUCUCGCGAAAGAAAAAAAACAGAAAACGCAUUUUUUUCCAAUCCGAAAGAGGCACGCCCGUGCCACUCGUGAAAGCACAAAUGUGCCUCUCGCGGAAGCAAAACCGUGCCUCUCGCGAAAUAAAAAAAAAUAGAAAACGCGUUUUUUCCCUUUCCGAAAGAGGUACGCCCGUGCCUCUCGCGAAAGCAAAACCGUGCCUCUCGCGAAAGAAAAAAAACAGAAAACACAUUUUUUUCGUUUCCAAGAGGCACGGCCGUGCCUCUCGCGAAAGCACAACCAUGCCUCUCGCAAAAACAAAAUCGUGACUCUUGCGAAAAAAUGCAUUUUUUUGGGUGGAAAAGCUAGGGAAGACCGGUAAAAAACCAAAAUGUUAAAAUAACCCAAAAAAACCUUUUAAAAAGCCGAAAACACGUGCGUAAAAAAAAUUAAAAAAAAAAUCCGAUGGGAGCGUCCAGAGCGCGACACGUGGCGAAUGGCUGUGAGCGCGCGGCGCUGAUCGUUGCGAGGCUCCCGAAGGAGCCCUCGUUAAUUAGUUGCUCCCGGAUUUCAGCGACUUAACAGCCCGAUUCAUCGAGAAGCUGUAACACCCCGAGAUUCAUGCCACAGUAAUCUCCCACUUCUCAUGCCAUGUCAUCAUGAUUACCUUGCUAGUUGCCACUUGUUCAAAACAUCAAGUCCAAAAUUCAAAAAUUUCUCAAACAUGAAUACAAAAAUGUUCAUCAUGUGCCAAAUAUUCCACAACUAAUAUUGGUGGUGAACCAACAUUUUUGCAAAGGGUUUAAGUGGCCUAAACUACUUAAAGCAGUGGCUAAAACAAUAGUUUAAAUGCCUUUUUACUCUAUAAAAAUUUCAAACUAUUUCAAAAGCCUCACAGCCUUUUGUGGCAGUGCUAACUAUUUCAAUGUAAUUAUGUGGCCAAGUCCCACAUUUUACAAAAUCCAUUUGGCAGCCCAAAUAUUACCAUGCUUUUUCUGUAAAAAGAAAAGAGCAGAGGUAAAAGAAAAAGAAACCCCCCCGACCCCCUGGGCCUUUGUCAUCUGGGCGGCCCAACCCAGCAGCCCACCUCCCCCGGUCGCCUCCCUCCUCUCUGUUCACCCGACCCAGCGGCCGCGCUCGCUGGUCGCCAUCGAACCCUGUCGCCGUCCCCGUCGGGGAAGGGAUAAGGGCGACAUCCCCUCGAUGCCUCGAGCCCUCCCGUCCACUCACCGCACCCCACUCGCGCCAGUCCUUUCCCCUCGCCCGCUUCGUCUCUCCCUCGCACCCCAGAUCCCCUCCCCAUCGCAUCCGAACGCCACGGCCGCCAUGGCCGCCGUCGCCCUUGUGGCCACCGGCCACCACGCGCGUAUUCGCCAUGACGUAGCUCCUCGCCAUCAUCCGCUACGCCCCCUGGUGCCAUCCGCAAGAGCUCGGAGGCGCUAGAACGCCGUCACGCCGCCUUCUUCAACCUCCGUCCGCCUCGGGCCGCCGCACACCGAUGCCGUCUCCGGCCACCUCGACUCUUCCUCGGGCCUUCCCAGCAAUGGAAGUGAGCGCCGGACCUCCGCCUCCCUCUCCCUCUCUCCCCGUGCUCUUUCCCGCGCCGUAGCUAGCUGUCGCCGCCUCCGUGCCCUACUCGCCGCCGACGAGAUCGUGGCCAUCUUUGUGGUCGACGCCGCCGCCACCUGAGGCCACCGUUGAACUCCUGGAGCUCCCAGGAGCCCAACGAGCCUGAGCACGUGCCUCCCCGUGCCCCCUAGCCGCUAGCCCGACCACCCUCAUCUCCGGCCGCCGCCUUGCCUCACCACCGACGGCACUCCGGCCACUCCCCGCCCGGGCCACCACCACAGAACGAUGCGGCUUCGUCNNNNNNNNNNNNNNNNNNNNNNNNNNNNNNNNNNNNNNNNNNNNNNNNNNNNNNNNNNNNNNNNNNNNNNNNNNNNNNNNNNNNNNNNNNNNNNNNNNNNNNNNNNNNNNNNNNNNNNNNNNNNNNNNNNNNNNNNNNNNNNNNNNNNNNNNNNNNNNNNNNNNNNNNNNNNNNNNNNNNNNNNNNNNNNNNNNNNNNNNNNNNNNNNNNNNNNNNNNNNNNNNNNNNNNNNNNNNNNNNNNNNNNNNNNNNNNNNNNNNNNNNNNNNNNNNNNNNNNNNNNNNNNNNNNNNNNNNNNNNNNNNNNNNNNNNNNNNNNNCCCCGCUGGCCGUGCUUCCGCUGUGGUUUUUGCCACCGGCGGCUAGACGCCGGCGCUCGCGCUGAUGUGGCCGACCGGGGCCACCCCCCAGGGUCACUACCUGGUGGUCCCAGGGGCCCGGGCUGGCCAGUUGACCGAGGUCAACUGUGCUGACUGGGCAGGCCCCAGCCACUGACACGCGGGCCCCGCCGCUUUUUCUAACUAAAUUGUUUUAAUAAUUAAAACUAAUUAGUUUAGCCAAUUAGUCUAUGACAGGUGGGGUCCAGUAGCUAAUUAACCUAGAUUAGUUAGUUUAUUACACUGUUAGACUAACAGAGGCUGAGAUGUGGGUCCCGCUGGACCCACAGGCCAGGUUUGACCUGGUCAGCCGCCCUGCUGACUGUUGACUUCUCUAUGACGUCAUGAUGACGUCAUAUUCCUUUUCUAUUUUUUAAAAUAAUUCCAGAAUAUUGUUUAAACUUUAAAAAUUCAUAGAAAUUAAACCGUUCCUCGGAUGAAAAUAUUUUCUAUAUGAAAGUUGCUCAGAAAAAUCCAACGAAUCUGAAAAUGCGGUCCGUUCAGCUGUCACAUGCCUCUAGCAUGCUGAACAUGGAACAUUUCCCCUCCGGUCAUUUGUGUGACACGGGUCCGGAACCGGGAAUACAUUCCCGGUUGAAUUCCCCCUUCACCUAUAUCGUGUAGCCAUGCGUUAGGUCACACCCAGCACAACAUAUUGCCAUGUUACGCUUUGUAAUGCUAUGUCUGCUUUAUAUUUACUGUUUCUUCCCCCUCUUCUCUCCGGUAGACCCCGAGACCGAUGCCACCCCUGUGAUCGACUACGUCGACGACGACCCCUCCUUGCCAGAACAACCAGGCAAGCCCCCCCUUUGAUCAUCCCGAUAUCGCCCAUUCCAUUCUCUCAUGCUUGCAUUAGAUUUUGCUACUGUUAUUGUUUGCACCUAUUCUGAUGCAUAGCCUGCUUUUGUACCUACUGUUGUACCUUACCCGCUUAUCCUAAACUGCUUAGUAUAGGUUGGUUAGAGACCCAUCAGUGACCCCCCCACUUGACUCGACUGCCCCGCUAGAUUAUCAGAAGACCCGAUCAACGGGAACGAAGACCAGGACCCGACACCUCACGUCACAUCACGCCCCUUCGUUGCUCGACUCUGAAGUGUUACUAUUGAGAGCCGAGGGUGAGACCUCUACAGCGCUUCUGAUGUUAACCUGUAGUGUAGCUAUUCGGUCGUGGUCAUCGAGGGUGAUUUCCUCCUUAACCACUUCCGAUACGGCUCUGUCGUGCAACCCAUCAAGUGUGAACCUCGAGGGUGGAUCCUCUUACGUUCACCUUGAUGAUUACAUCGAGUGGAAUUCACCGGGGGUGAUUCCUUGGGUUUUCCCCUUAAUGUUUGGACACACGGAUACUUGGACUUUACCACUAUUACUUGGAAAGACGGGUCGACCUUGAGGGGUACCCGCGCGAGCUUAAUUGCGAGUGAUGUGGAGUCGGGUUGACCUGGAGGGUGCCCGCGAGAUAAUUACGAGGCGUGGCCGGGCAUUCCUAGCCCUUGCUGCAAGUCCUCGAGACGGGGAAACGGGGUCACAUCUUUCGUGAGUCUCUGCUUGUUACCGUGCGUUCCUAAUCCACUACGAUUUGGAUAUUUGAUCCGAGGGGCCUCUGGCCUGAUAGCACUAACCAUCACGUGGGCAUAGUAUGGGCGUUCUGCGUCGUAUACAUCAGCCGAAGCUUAGUAGACGUCAGCGACUGAGCGGCGCGCGCUGGGUUGGACUGCGUAAGCGCCUGCCUUGUUGAAGGAGGUAGCUAGGUCUGCUCACCGGCCGCCCUCGCAACGUGCAGGAGUUCCCGGGGAGAUGGCCCAUGACCCCUGGGGGCAUAGGUUUAGUCCGGCGUGCUGGCCUCUCUAUUAAGCCUAGGUCGGGUUGCGGCGUAUUGUUUCGCCGAGGCCGGGCAUGACCCUGGAAAGUGUGUCCGGCCGGAGUUAAGCGAGCGUGGUGGGUAAGUUGGUGCACCCCUGCAGGGAAGAAAACAUCUAUCGAUAGCCUGUCCUACGGUAACAGACACUUGGAGUUGUAUCCCGAUCGAUACAACUAGAACUGGAUACUUGAAAUGAGACAUGGAUAUGAGAAAUGGAUUGCGAUGAGAAUUGGAUUGUGAUGAUAACUGGAUAGUAUGGCUCUGGGAUUUCUUUCUCGCAGGGAGUCGAGAAAGGAUCUCCGGCCGAGGUUGAUAACACUACUUCUACCUUACUUUGUGCUACUCUAUUUCCUCCUAUUUGCUGCAAGAUGGUGGUUUCCAGAAGAUGCUAGUCUUCGAUAGGACCAGGCCUUCUCUCUAUUCUGGCAUUUCUGCAGCCCAGUUCACAUAUACAGCCUUCCUUUGAUAAUGUUGCAUAUGUAGUGUAGAUCCUUGCUUGCGAGUACUUUGGAUGAGUACUCACGGUUGCUUUGCUCCCUCUUUUUCCCUCUUUCCAUUCUUCUCGGAUGCUGCAACCAGAUGGUGGAGCCCAGGAGCCAGAUGCCACCGUCGAUGCCUACUACUACGUGAAGACCGCUGACGAUCAGGAGUAGUUAGGAGGCUCCCAGGCAGGAGGCCUUGCCUUUUCGAUCGUUGCUACUUUUGUGCUAGCCUUCUUAAGGCAAACUUGUCUAACUUAUGUCUGUACUCAGAUAUUGUUGCUUCCGCUGACUCUGGUGUAUUCGAGCUUAUGUAUUCAAGCCCUCGAGGCCCCUGGCUUGUAAUAUAAAGCUUGUAUUAUUUUAAUUUGUGUCUAGAGUUGUGUUGUGAUAUCUUCCCGUGAGUCCUUGAUCUUGAUCAUACACAUUUGCGUGUAUGAUUAGUGUACGAUUGAAUCGAGGGCGUCACAAGUUGGUAUCAGAGCCAACUGCCUGUACGUAUCCCCCUUUCUAACUCCUUGGCCGAAGUUGAGUCUAGUCACUACAAAACUUUUACUGACAUGGCUGUGUGUCUUAUGGGCCCACGUCGCCAUUGGGUGGUAUUAGGAUCUUUUACUUCUCGAUCUUUAUUCUGGGACUCUGAUCUCUCUUCUAUUCGGGUUAAAUGUUUUUGCAAACUCUAACAUUAGGUUCUCGUAAACACAUCCCCCCGGAGAGCCGCUCAUUCCAUAUGAUUGCCUGCGUCACUUGAAGAUUAUGAAGAUACUUGUCGAUGUUUUCUGAGACCCUUGUGCCCAUCGCUUUUGCAAUUCCUUUCCAUCAAUAAACCCCUAUGGGUGACCACGUACACGUGUCAUUCAUAUAAUCAUUUCCCCGUUGGUCUUGUUAUUACAAGAUACCACGAAAAUCCUCUCUAUUGUUCCGAGAAUAUUUUGUGCUUACUGACUUACAGUACUUUGCCACAUGAAUACCCCUACGGAUAAUUCCUCGCACUUACCGAGUAUCUGCCAUCCCCAGUUGCUCAUGUGUUUCACAAAAGUCUUCAAAUACUAUUCAAUCUUCAAAAAAAAUCCUCUGCAGCCUAUUACUCUUGAUUCUCCUUGCCUGCUUGCAAUAUUCUUUAAAUUUUUUGUGAUUGUCAUUCUAUUCCUAUGGAUUUAACGUGUGAGCGAAUACUCGCAAUCAUCAAUUAACCCUUGGAAAUUUUCAUUCCGGCUCCGACAUCACUCUGGAUAUGGGAUGGUUCUUGCCCAAUCUAGAUUUGAUCGGGUGCACCUCUAAGUCUAUUCAACUUACUCAUUUGCGUGUAUGAUUAGUGUACGAUUGAAUCGAGGGCGUCACAGAAGCCCUUAUUACCCUCCUUCCCAAGAAGCCCGAUUCCUCCUUCCUACUCGAUUAUAGGCCCAUAAGCCUGAUCCACCUCUUGGCCAAACUUUUCGCCAAGGUGCUGUCUCUCCGGCUUGCCCCUCGGAUGGCCGAGCUCGUGUCUACCAACCAGAGCGCCUUCAUCGCCGGCCGUUGCGCGGACGACAACUUUCUGCUGGUGCGUGAGACUGCUCGUCUUCUACACAAUCUCAAGGCUCCAAGAGUCCUGCUCAAGCUCGACAUCGCGCGCGCCUUCGACUCGGUGUCCUGGCCGUUCCUCACCGAGACGAUGCGUCACUUGGGUUUUGGCGACUGCUGGUGCGAAUGGGUGUCCAUCCUACUCUCCAUAGCCUCUACGCGUGUCCUUGUCAACGGCAGGCCAGGCCCUCCGAUCCUCCAUGCGUGCGGGCUCCGCCAGGGGGAUCCCCUUUCACCGAUGUUGUUUGCCAUCGUCAUCGACACCCUUAACUUCCUGCUCCAGCGAGCUGUCAACCAUGGGAUCCGGCGCCGCCUCACUUAUUGGCAUGCCGCUUCCAGCAUAUCCCUCUUCGCCGACGAUGUGGUAAUCUUCUGCCACCCAGAGCACGCGGAAAUUCAAAAUGUCUGCAAGCUGCUGGAUCUAUUCGGCAUGGCCUCGGGGCUCCGCACCAACUAUCGGAAGUGCUCCGCCACGCCGAUCCAAUGCACGCCGGAAGUGGCCGCCGAGGUGGGCGAGAUGCUCCAAUGCUCUGUUUCCUCCUUCCCUAUCCAAUACCUUGGCUUCCCACUCUCCGUCUGCAAGGUGCCCACGAGCGCGCUCAUGCCUUUGGUUGAUCAAAUGGUACGAAAGUUGGCGACCUGGAAAGCCACCUCGCUCUCCUGCUGCGAGCGAUUGGCGCUGGUCCGACACGUGUUGAGCGCCAUGCCUGUCCACAUCCUGAUCGUGAUGGUGCUCAACCCGACCAUCCUGAAGCCGGUGACGCAGAUCACCCACGACUUCCUCUGGCAGGGCUCCAAGGACGCCAAAGCCGAGCACUGCCUCAUGAGGUGGCCUCGGCGUGCGCGACAUUCAUCGGUCCGGCAUUGCACUUCGGGUCCGUUGGCUCUGGCUGCAAGCCACUGACCCCACGCGUCCCUGGUGUCACCUCAGGCCGCACAGCGAGCCCGAGACUCUGGCUAUCUUCCGGGCCUCGACAGUCUGGACCCUUGGGAACGGAGCGCAGUGCCGUUUUUGGGCUGAUCCGUGGCUGGACGGCCAAUCCGUCCUGGACUUGACGCCCGCGCUCUUAAGCCUCGUCCCGCGCAGGUGACAGCGCACUAGGCUAGUGUGCGAGGCCCUCCAUGGCCGUGCCUGGAUCAUCGACAUUCACGACACCCUCGGCACUACUGCCCUGGUGGAAUACGUCGACCUUUGGAGGCGCCUACAACGUGUCAACCUGUCCAGCGAGCCUGAAUCGAUCUCAUGGCGUUGUUCGGCCAACGGAUCCUAUUCCGCGCAGUCCUGUUAUCAGGCUCUAUUCGUUGGCUCCACCAUAUCAAGUGCUUCCUCUGGCUCGCCUCCCUCGAUCACUGCUGGAUGGAUGAGCGUCAUGCCCCGCAUGGCCUCCCCGGCGAUCCGUUGUGUGAUGACCCACAAGUGUAGGGCAUCUAUCAUAGUCCUUUCAAUAAGUAAGAGUGUUGAACCCAACGAGGAGCAGAAGGAAAUGACAAGCGGUUUUCAGUAAGGUAUACUUUGCAAGCACUAAAAUUAUCGGUAACAAAUAGUUUUCUGAUAAGGUAAUUUGUAACAAGUAAAAAGCAAUGAAAGUAAAUAAGGUGCAGCAAGGUGGCCCAAUCCUUUUCGUAGCAAAGGAAAAGCCUGGACACGUUCUUAUAUAGAGAAAAGCGCUCCCGAGGACACAUGGGAAUUAUCGUCAAGCUAGUUUUCAUCACGCUCAUAUGAUUCGCGUUCGUUACUUUGAUAAUUUGAUAUGUGAGUGGACCGGUUCUUGGGUACUGUGCUUUCUUGGACAAGCAUCCCAAUUAUGAUUAACCCCUAUUGCAAGCAUCCGCAACUACAAAAGAAGUAUUAAGGUAAACCUAACCAUAGCAUGAAACAUAUGGAUCCAAAUCAGCCCCUUACGAAGCAACUCAUAAACUAGGGUUUAAGCUUCUGUCACUCUAGCAACCCAUCAUCUACUUAUUACUUCCCAAUGCCUUCCUCUAGGCCCAAAUAAUGGUGAAGUGUCAUGUAGUCGACGUUCACAUAACACCACUAGAGGAGUGACAACAUACAUCUCAUCAAAAUAUUGAACGGAUACCAAAUUCACAUGACUACUAAUAGCAACACUUCACCCAUGUCCUCCGGAACAAACGUAAUUACCCACAAGGCAUAUUCAUGUUCAUGAUCAGAGGGGUAUUAAUAUGCAUUAAGGAUCUUAACAAAUGAUCUUCCACCGAAUAAACCAACUAGCAUCAACUACAAGGAGUAAUCAACACUACUAGUAACCCACAUGUACCAAUCUGAGGUUUUGGUACAAAGAUUGGAUACAAGAGAUGAACUAGGGUUUGAGAGGAGAUGGUGCUGGUGAAGAUUUUGAUGGAGAUUGACCCCCUCGCAAUGAGAGGAUCGAUGAUGAUGACGAUGGUGAUGAUUUCCCCCUCCCGGAGGGAAGUUUCCCCGACAUAACAGCUCCGCCAGAGCCCUAGAUUGGUUCUGCCAAGGUUUCGCCUCAUGGCGGUGGACUUUCAUCGCGAAAGCUUGCUUAUGAUUUUUUUCAGGGUAAAAGACCUCAUAUAGCAGAAGAUGGGCACCGGAGAGCUGCCAGGUGGCCCACGAGGCAGGGGGCACGGCCAGGGGUGUAGGGUGCGCCCCCCACCCUCGCUCAGUAUUUUUUUAUUAAAUCCAAAAAUGACUUCCGUGGAGUUUCAGGACUUUUGGAGUUAUGCAGAAUAGGUCUCUAAUAUUUGCUCCUUUUCCAGCCCAGAAUUCCAGUUGCCGGCAUUCUCUCUCUUCAUGUAAACCUUGUAAAAUAAGAGAGAAUAGCCAUAAGUAUUGUGACAUAACGUGUAAUAACAGCCCAUAAUGCAAUAAAUAUCGAUUUAAAAGCAUGAUGCAAAAUGGACAUAUCAACUCCCCCAAGCUUAGACCUCGCUUGUCCUCAAGCAGAAGCCGAUAACGAAACAUGUUUAGAGAUAGAGGUGUCGAUAAAAUAAAAUACGGACAUGAGGAUAUCAUGAUCGUUCUUAUAACAGCAACAUAUAUAAAUUUUGUCAUAUGAUUUCUUAUGCUAAAGUAACAAUCUAUUCACAAUAUCUAGUAUGAAUAAGAAACUUCAUUGAGAACCAACAAACUAUGAUCUCGGUCAUUGAAGCAAUUGCAAUUUAUCAUAACAUCGGAAAGAGUCAAUAUAAGAGCUUUUCAGCAAGUCCACAUACUCAACCAUCAUUUAGUCUUUCAUAAUUGCUAACACUCACGCAAUAUUUAUGGUUAUGGAGUUUUAGUCGGACACAGAGAAAGAUAGGGACUUAUAGUGUUGCCUCCCAACCUUUUACCUCAAGGGUAAUGUCAACAAUAAUAGUUCAUGCUAACUUACAUCCAAUUGGAUAUAUAUAUAUAUAUAUAUAUAUAUAUAUAUAUAUAUAUAUAUAUAUAUAUAUAUAUAUCAGGAUCUUUCCAACAUGAGGUGCUUGCCAAAGGAUAAAAUGUAAAAAGGAAAGGUGAAGCUCACCAUGACUCUUAAUGUAAGACAAGAAGUAAAAGAUAGGCCCUUCGUAGAGGGAAGCAGAGGUUGUCAUGUGCUUUUUGGUUGGAUGCACGAAAUCUUAAUGCAAAAGAACGUCACUUUAUAUUGCCACUUGUGAUACAGACCUUUAUUAUGCAGUCCGUCGCUUUUAUUGCUUCCAUAUCACAAGAUUGUAUAAAGCUUAUUUUCUCCACACUAAUAAGUCAUACAUAUUUAGAGAGCAAUUUUUAUUGCAUGCAACAUGACAACUUACUUGAAGGAUCUUACUCAAUCCAUAGGUAGAUAUGGUGGACUCUCAUGGCAAAACUGGGUUUAAGGAUAUUUGGAAGCACAAGUAGUAUUUCUACUUGGUGUAAGGAAUUUGGCUAGCAUGAGGGGGAAAGACAAGCUCGACAUGUUGGAUGACCCAUGAAAAUAUACUUUAAUUCAUAUAUGAGAAAACAUAACCCAUUACGUUGUCUUCCUUGUCCAACAUCAAAUCUUUAGCAUGUCAUACUUUAAUGAGUGCUCACAAUCAUAAAAGAUGUCCAAGAUAGUAUAUUUAUAUGUGAGAACCUCUCUUUCUUUAUUACUUCCUAUUAAUUGCAACGAUGACCAAAAUUAUGUUUGCCAACCCUCAACAACUUUUAAGCAUCAUAUUCUUUAUAUGUGAAGUCAUUACUCUCCAUAAGAUUAAUAUAAUCUCUUUUAUUUCUUUCUUCUAUUUUUAUUCCCUCAAGAUCAUAGCAAGAUAACAAAGCCCUUGACUCAACACUGAUCUUUAUUAUAUAUAGCUCAUGGACUUGAUUACAUAGAGGGAUCAUAAAGCAAAACUCAAAACUAAAUCAUACCAAAGCUUUAUUCUAUUAGAUCAAGGUAUUAUUAAAAGGAACGAACUAAGUAAAACAGUAAAGAUAGGAGUGUUGCUGGUGAUACGAUACCGGGGCAGCUCCCCCAAGCUUGGAAGGUUCCAAGGGGAGUGCCCAUACCCAUGUGGCGAUGAUGCCCCUUAAGAUAUGAUUCUCCUCCUCGAGCUUAUUGACUUGAUGCUUGAGAUCCAUUGUUUCCUUACGGAGCUUAUCCGUGACGGCUAGAGCUCCUUUCACCCAUGGAUGUUGCAUAGCUGCUGGAGAACAAGUGACACUCUUUUUCAUAGUUUCAUAAGAAAGAAAUCUAACAUUGGAAGGGAUCUAGCUGAGCUCUGUAGUUCCCCCAUCGUGAAUCCGGCUCGGAAAUGAGAGGUAACUUCUUGACCUUCCUCCAUUGCAUUUAUCCUUUUCAAGUCGGCCUCCAUCUCCUCCUCCGUUGAUGGCCCAAAGUGAUAGGCAUCGCUGUUUUCUCCUGGACCUGGUGUCGACUGACACACCUGACUCUCCCCGACUGACUCUUGAAAAGACAUCUUGCUCUAAACCUGUUGCAGAAACAGCUCGAAACAAAGACAUAGGAUAUUUGCGUGAUACGGACCUUCGGGAGAUUAUAUAAUGAAUUUUUACCGACGAAAAGAAGUAUCGUGCAAGAAAACAGAGUUCGGAGAGCACACGAGGUGCCCACGAGGUAGGGGGCGCGCCCAGGGGGUAGGGCGCGCCCUCCACCCUCGUGGACGCCUCGUGUCCUUCCCGGACUACUUACUAUUUUCCUAUUUUCUUAAAUAUUCCAAAAUGGAGAAAAAAAAUGCUAUUAGAACUGUUUUAGAGUCGGUUUACUUAUCGUACCACAUACCUAUUCCUUUUCGGAGUCUGAAACGUUCUGGAAAGUGUCCCUUGUGUAUUCCUCCGGGGUUAUGGUUUCAAUAACAUUAGUUUCAACAUUUAUAGGACUACCUGAGAUAUAAUGUUUGAUUCUUUGACCGUUCACCACCUUCGGAUUUGUGCCUGCGAAGUUGUUGAUUUUUAUGGCACGGGAACGAUAUACCUCCUCGAUAACGUAGGGACCUUCCCAUUUAGAGAGAAGUUUUUCCUGCAAAAAAUCUUAAACGAGAGUUAAAUAGCAACACAUAAUCACCUACAUUAAACUCACGCUUUUGUAUCCUUUUGUCAUGACACCUUUUAACUUUUUCUUUAAACAGUUUGGCAUUCUCGUAGGACUGGGUUCUCCAUUCAUCAAGUGAGCUAAUGUCAAAUAGCCUCUUCUCACAGGCAAGUGUAAAUCAUAACUGAGCUCUUUAAUGGCCCAAUAUGCCUUAUGUUCUAGUUCGAGAGGUAAAUGACAUGCUUUUCCAUAAACCAUUUUAUACGGAGACAUACCCAUAGGAUUCUUAUAUGCAGUUCUAUAAGCCCACAAUGCAUCAUCAAGUUUCUUGGACCAAUUCUUUCUAGAUCUAUUAAUAGUCUUUUGCAAAAUUAAUUUGAGCUCUCUAUUACUCAAUUCUACUUGACCACUAGACUGUGGAUGAUAUGGAGAUGCAAUUCUAUGAUUAACAUCAUACUUAGCAUGCAUUUCACGAAAAGCACCAUGAAUAAAAUGUGAACAACCAUCAGUCAUUAAGUAUCUAGGGACUCCAAACCUUAGAAAAUUAACUUCUUUAAGCAUCUUAAUAGAAGUGUUAUGAUCAACACUACUAGUUGGAAUAGCUUCUACCGACUUGGUAAUGUAGUCAACAACAACUAAAAUAUGUGUAUAGCCAUUAGAGGAAGGAAACGGUCCCAUAUAAUCAAAGCCCCAAACAUCAAAUGGUUCAAUAACAAGAGAAUAGUUCAUAGGCAUUUCUUGACGUCUACUAAUAUUACCAAUUCUUUGACAUUCAUCACAAGACAAGACAAACUUACGGGAAUCCUUGAAGAGAGUAGGCCAAUAAAAACCGGAUUGCAGUACCUUAUGUGCAGUUCUAUCUCCAGCGUGGUGUCCUCCAUAUGCCUCAGAGUGAAACUUGCAUAGGAUCUGUUCUUGUUCAUGCUCAGGUACACAACAUGUAAUAACACCAUCUACUCCUUCUUUAUAAAGGUGUGGGUCAUCCCAGAAGUAAUGUCUUAAAUCAUAGAAAAACUUUUUCUUUUGCUGGGAUGUGAAACUAGGUGGUAUGAAUUUAGCAACAAUGUAAUUAGCAUAAUCAGCAUACCAUGGAGCAGUACGAGAAGCAUUUAUGACAGCUAAUUGUUCAUCGGGAAAGCUAUCAUCAACAGGUAGUGGGUCAUCAAGAACAUUCUCUAACCUAGACAAGUUGUCUGCAACGGGGUUCUCAGCUCCCUUUCUAUCAAUAAUAUGCAAAUCAAAUUCUUGUAGCAAGAGAACCCAUCUAAUAAGUCUAGGUUUAGCAUCUUUAUUUUCCAUAAGAUAUUUAAUAGAAGCAUGAUCAGUUUGAAUAGUUACUUUAGAAUCAACUAUAUAAGGUCUAAACUUAUCACAAGAAAAUACAACUACUAAAAAUUCUUUUUCAGUAGUAGCAUAAUUUCUCUGGGAACUGUCUAGAGUCUUACUAGCAUACUGAAUAACAUUUAGCUUCUUAUCAACUCUUUGUCCUAGAACAACACCUACAACAUAAUCACUAGCAUCACACAUAAUUUCGAAGGGUAAAUUCCAAUCAGGUGGCUGAACAAUAGGUGCAGAAAUCAAAGCUUUCUUAAGUAUUUCAAAUGCUUCUGCACAAUCAUCAUCGAAGACAACAGGAAUAUCUUUUUGUAAGAGAUUAAUCAGAGGCCUAGAAAUUUUAGAGAAGUCCUUAAUGAACCUCCUAUAAAAACUGGCAUGACCAAGGAAACUUCUUAUACCUUUAAUGUCCUUGGGACACGGCAUCUUUUCAAUAGCAUCAACUUUAGCUUUAUCCACUUCAAUACCUCUUUCAGAAAUUUUAUGCCCCAAGACAAUACCUUCGUUAACCAUAAAGUGGCACUUCUCCCAAUUCAAGACGAGACUAGUAUCUUCACAUCUCUGCAAAACUCGAUUAAGGUUGCUCAAGCAAUCAUCAAGAGAAGACCCAUAAACGGAGAAAUCAUCCAUGAAAACCUCACAAACCUUUUCACAAAAGUCAGAGAAUAUAGCCAUCAUGCAUCUUUGAAAGGUAGCAGGUGCAUUACAUAAACCAAAAGGCAUACAUCUAUAAGCAAAAGUACCGAAAGGGCAAGUAAAAGUGGUCUUUUCUUGAUCCUCUGCUGACAUAGGUAUUUGAGAGAAACCAGAGUAACCAUCUAGAAAGCAAAAAAUGUGUAUGUUUAGAUAAUCUUUCUAGCAUUUGAUCAAUAAAAGGUAGAGGGUAAUGAUCCUUUUUCGUAGCUUUAUUUAACUUACAGAAAUCAAUUACCAUCCUAUAACCUGUAAUAAUUCUUUGCGGGAUCAAUUCAUCUUUAUCAUUAGGAACAACAGUAAUACAUCCCUUCUCAGGACACAAUGGACAUGACUUACCCACUGACUAUCAGCAACGGGAUAAAUUAUACCUGCCUCUAGGAGCUUUAGUAUUUCCUUUCUUACCACUUCUUUCAUCUUAGGAUUUAACCGUCGUUGGUGAUCAAUAACUGGUUUGGCGCCUUUCUCCAAAUUUAUGUUGUGGUGACUAAUGCCCUUAAGAUCAUCAAGAGUAUAUCCAAUAGUAGCAUGGUACUUCUUUAGAGUUUUCAAUAAUCUUUCCUCUUCCUGCUCUGAAAGGUUAGCACUAAUAAUAACAGGAUAUAUCUUAUUUUCAUCAAGAUAAGCAUAUUUAAGGGUAUCAGGUAAUGGUUUAAGCUCAAACACGGGAUCACCCUUGGGUGGAGGAGGAUCCCCUAGAAUUUCAACAGGCAAGUUGUGUUUCAAAAUAGGUCCCUGUAUAUAGAAUACUUCAUCUAUCUCCCUUCUUUCAUUCAUAAACAUAUCAUUUUCAUGGUCUAGCAAAUAUUGUUCUAAAGGAUCAUUAGGAGGAACGGCAAUAGAAGCAAGACCAAUAAUUCCAUCCUUAUUAGGCUAUUCUUUAUCAUGGGGUUGUCUACGAAAUUUAGCAAAAUUAAACUCAUGAGACAUAUCCCUAAGCCAAUUGUAACAACAUCCUUUUUGCAAUCUAUCCUAGCAUUAACAGUAUUCAAGAAGGGUCUACCAAAUAUAAUGGAACAAAAGUCAUCUUGUGGGGAACCAAGAACAAGAAAAUCAGCAGGAUAUUUAACUUUCCCACACAAGACUUCAACAUCUCUAACAAUCCCAAUUGGUGAAAUAGUAUCUCUAUUGGCAAGCUUAAUUGUAACAUCUAUUUCUUCUAUCUCAGCAGGUGCAAUAUCAUGCAUAAUUUCUUUGUAUAAGGAAUGAGGUAUUGCACUAGCACUAGCACCCAUAUCACAUAAGCCAUGAUAACAAUGAUCUCAUAUUUUAACAGAAAUAACAGGCAUGCCUACAACAGGUCUAUGUUUCUUAGCAUCGGGUCUAGCAAUUCUAGCAGCUGCAUCAUAGAAAUAAAUAACAUGCCUAUCAAUAUUAUCAGCCAAGAGAUCUUUAACCAUAGCAAUACUAGGUUCAUCUUUAAUUUUCUCAGGAGGUGUAUAUGUUCUAGUAUUACUCUUACGAACCAUAGUUGAAGCUUUAGCAUGAUCCUUUAUCCUAACAGGGAAAGGUGGUUUCUCAAUAUAAGUAGCAGGAACAAUAGGAUCAUUAUAAGUGAUAGUCUUUUCUUGAACUUUAAUAGGUGCAACUACUUUUACUCUAUUGGGAGGAUUAUAUUUAAACCACUUCUCCUUAGGGAGGUCAACAUGAGUAGCAAAUGAUUCACAGAAAGAAGCUACUAUCUCAGAGUCAAGUCCAUAUUUAGUGCUAAAUCCACGAAAAGCAUCGGUAUCCAUAAAAGAUUUAACACAAUCAAACUUAGGUGUCAUAACUGACUCCUUACCUUCAUCGAGCUCCCAAUCUUCAGAGUUGCGUUUAAUUCUUUCCAAUAAAUCCCAUUUUAAUUCAAUAGUCUUCAUCAUAAAAGAACCAGCACAAGAAGUAUCGAGCAUGGAGCGAUUGUUGAGAAAAAGCCGAGCAUAAAUUUUUUGAAUAAUCAUUUCUCUUGAGAGCUCAUGAUUGGGGCAUGAAUAUAACAUUAACUUAAGCCUCCCCCAAGCUUGAGCGAUGCUUUCUCCUUCGCGAGGCCAAAAAUUAUAUAUAUAAUUACGAUCACAAUGAACAAGAUGCAUAAGAUAAAACUUCUGGUGAAAUUCCAAUUUCAAUCGUUUAUAGUUGCAUGAUCCCAUAUAAUCACAUAGCCUAUAGCAUGUCAAUGCCUCUCCCUUCAAAGAUAAAGGGAAGACCUUCUUCUAGAUAACAUCAUCGGGCAUACCUGCAAGCUUAAAUAAUCCACAAACUUCAUCCACAUAUAUUAGGUGUAAAUCGGGAUGCAAUGUUUCAUCUCCUGUAAAGGGAUUAGCUAGCAGUUUCUCUACCAUACCCGAAGGAAUUUCAAAGUAAACAUUUUCAGUAGGUUCAGUAGGUUGAGGAGCAACUCUUUGCUCUUCUGGUCGGGGUGAAGAUACCCUGAACAAGCCCCUCAAAGGAUUAUGUUCCAUAGUAACAAGUGACAGUAAAUUUCAGCACACUAUAUAAAAUUUUCCUUACCAAGUUCCACUUACCAAAGGCGCUUCACUCCCCGGCAAAGACGCCAGAAAAGAGUCUUGAUGACCCACAAGUGUAGGGGAUCUAUCAUAGUCCUUUCAAUAAGUAAGAGUGUCGAACCCAACGAGGAGCAGAAGGAAAUGACAAGCGGUUUUCAGUAAGGUAUUCUCUGCAAGCACUGAAAUUAUCAGUAACAGAUAGUUUUGUGAUAAGGUAAUUUGUAAAAGGUAACAAGCAAUGAAAGUAAAUAAGGUGCAGCAAGGUGGCCCAAUCCUUUUUGUAGCAAAGUACAAGCCUGGAAAAGUUCUUAUAUAGAUAAAAGCGCUCCUGAGGACACAUGGGAAUUAUCGUCAAGCUAGUUUUCACCACGCUCAUAUGAUUCACGUUCGUUACUUUGAUAAUUUGAUAUGUGGGUGGACCGGUGCCUGGGUACUGCCCUUUCUUGGAUAAGCAUCCCACUUACGAUUAACCCCUAUUGCAAGCAUCCGCAACUACAGAAGAAAUAUUAAGGUAAACCUAACCAUAGCAUGAAACAUAUGGAUCCAAAUUAGCCCCUUACGAAGCAACUCAUCAACUAGGGUUUAAGCUUCUGUCACUCUAGCAACCCAUCAUCUACUUAUUACUUCCCAAUGCCUUCCUCUAGGCCCAAAUAAUGGUGAAGUGUCAUGUAGUCGACGUUCACAUAACACCACUAGAGGAGAGACAACAUACAUCUCAUCAAAAUAUCGAACGAAUACCAAAUUCACAUGACUACUAAUAGCAAGACUUCACCCAUGUCCUCAGGAACAAACAUAACUACUCACAAAGCAUAUUGAUGUUCAUGAUCAGAGGGGUAUUAAUAUGCAUUAAGGAUCUGAACAAAUGAUCUUCCACCGAAUAAACCAACUAGCAUCAACUACAAGGAGUAAUCAAAACUACUAGUAACCCACAGGUACCAAUCUGAGGUUUUGGUACAAAGAUUGGAUACAAGAGAUGAACUAGGGUUUGAGAGGAGAUGGUGCUGGUGAAGCUGUUGAUGGAGAUUGACCCCCUCCUGAUGAGAGGAUCGAUGGUGAUGAUGAUGGUGAUGAUUUCCCCCUCCUGGAGGGAAGUUUCCCCGACAGAACAGCUCCGCUAGAGCCCUAGAUUGGUUCCGCCUCGUGGCGGCGGAGUUUCAUCCCGAAAGCUUGCUUAUGAUUUUUUUCAGGGUAAAAGACCUCAUAUAGCAGAAGAUGGGCACCGAAGGGCUGCCAGGUGGCCCAUGAGGCAGGGGGGCGCACCCAGGGGUGUAGGGCACGCCCCCCACCCUCGUGGCUAGGGUGUGGGGCCCCUCUGGUGUUUCUUCUGCUCAGUAUUUUUUAUUAAAUCCAAAAAUGACUUCCGUGGAGUUUUAGGACUUUUCGAGUUGUGCAUAAUAGGUCUCUAAUAUUUGCUCCUUUUCCAGCCCAGAAUUCCAGCUGCCGGCAUUCUCCCUCUUCAUGUAAACCUUGUAAAAUAAGAGAGAAUAGCCAUAAGUAUUGUGAGAUAACGUGUAAUAACAGCCCAUAAUGCAAUAAAUAUCGAUAUAAAAGCAUGAUGCAAAAUGGAGGUAUCAUUGUGCAUCCUCUAUGGUCAGGAGACAGAAACGCUCAAUCACCUGCUAGCUGGAUGUGUGUUCUCGUGCAUCAGCUGGAACGAGAUCCUCUCGUGGUGUCACCUCACUGCGCUCCCACCCGACGCAGCCGAUGGUUUCUUCGAUUAGUGGCAGGACACCGUCGCUGCAUCUCCCUCUGUCCACCGCAAAGGACUUUCAUCGCUCAUCAUCCUCUCGGCUUGGAGCAUAUGGAAGCACCGCAACAAUGCAAUCUUCGAUGAUGGUGUGGUAUCUGCUAGUAAGCUCAUGGCUUGCAUCAAAGAAGACGCCCGGUCGGGGGCAAAGGCCGACGUUAAAGGACUAGAUCGCAUUAUCCCUGUAACCUGAUCUACGGCUUUGGGGGCUGAGCAACCCCCCCUCUUCUGUUGACCAAGGCCUCCUACUAAUGCCGGUUUGUGCACGGUAGUAGGGGUGGCACCCCUUGUAUUGUUCUCCACGCCUCUCUAUCAAUGAAAUGAUACGCGCAAGGCGUAUUCCCGAAAAGGUACAUAGUCGUGGGGGUAGUAUGGGUGCAUUUUGUAGCCCACGUAUAGGCCAACCAGGCCCGCGUGAAAAGAUAAGGGCAUGAACAAUGGUGCCUCGUGAUAAAAAGUAGGAUGAGACAAUUGUAUUGAUUUUUUCUCCUCAACGCAAGCUACUGCUGUAGGGAAACAUGGUAAUUUCAAAAAAAAUCUACGCUCAUGCAAGAUCAUGGUGAUGCAUAGCAACAAGAGGGGAGAGUGUUGUCCACGUACCCUCGUAGACCAAAAGCGGAAGCAUUAUGCCAACGCAGUUGAUGUAGUCGUACGUCUUCACAAUCGACCGAUCCAAGUACCGAACGUACGGCACCUCCGCGAUCUACACAUGUUCAGCUUGGUCACGUCCCAUGAACUUCGAUCUAGCAAGUGUUGAAGGAGAGUUUCUUCAGCACAACGGCGUGAUGACGAUGGUGAUGAAGCUACCGGCACAGGGCUUCUCCUAAGCACUGGAACAAUAUGACCGAGGUGGAUUAUUGUGGAAGGGGGCACCGCACACGGCUAAGAGAUCAAUGAUCAACUUGUGUGUCUAUGGGGUGCCCCCCUCCUCCGUAUAUAAAGGAGUGGAGGAGGGGGAGGGCCGGCCCUCUACUAUGGCGCGCCCUGGGGAGUCCUACUCCCAUCGGGAGUAGGAUUCCCCCCUUCCAAGUAGUAGGAGUAAGAGAGAAAGAAAGGGAAGAGAGAAGAGAAGGAAGGAGGGGGCGUUGUCCCUCCCCGUAGUCCAAUUAGGACUAGGCCUAAAGGGGGUGCGUGGCCUGCCCUAGGCAGCCCCUCCCUCUCUCCCUUAAAGCUCAAUAAGGCCCAUAUACUCCUCGGCGAAUUCCCGUAACUCUCCGGUACUCCGAUAAAUACCCGAACCACUCAGAACCUUUCUGAUGUCCGAAUAUAGCCUUCCAAUAUAUUGAUCUUUACGUCUCAAACAUUUUGAGACUCCUCAUCAUGUCCCUGAUCUCAUCAGGGACUCCGAACAACCUUCGGUACAUCAAAACACAUAAACUCAUAAUACUGAUCAUCACCGAACGUUAAGCGUGCGGACCCUAUGGGUUCGAGAACUAUGUAGACAUGACCGAGACUCAUCUCCGGUCAAUAACCAAUAGUGGAACCUAGAUGCUCAUAUUGACUUCUACAUAUUCUACGAAGAUCUUUAUCAGUCAAACCUCAUAAAAACAUACGUUGUUCCCUUUGUCAUCGAUAUGUUACUUGCCCGAGAUUCGAUCGUCGGUAUCACCAUACCUAGUUCAAUCUCGUUACUAGAAAGUCUCUUUACUCGUUUCGGAAUGCAUCAUCCCACAACUAACUCAUUAGCCACAUUGCUUGCAAGGCUCAUAGUGAUGUGCAUUACCGAGAGGGCCCAGAGAUACCUCUCCGACAAUCGGAAUGACAAAUCCUAAUCUCGAUCUAUGUCAACUCAACAAACACGAUCGGAGACACCUGUAGAGCACCUUUAUAAUCACCCAGUUACGCUGUGACGUUUGGUAGCAAACAAAGUGUUCCUCCGGUAUUCGGAAGUUGCAUAAUCUCAUAGUCAUAGGAACAUGUAUAAGUCAUCAAGAAAGCAAUAACAACAUACUAAACAAUCAAGUGCUAAGCUAACAGAAUGGGUCAAGUCAAUCACAUCAUUCUCUAAUGAUGUGAUCCUGUUAAUCAAAUGACAACUCAUGUCUAUGGCUAGGAAACUUAACCAUCUUUGAUUCGACGAGCUAGUCAAUUAGAGGCAUACUAGUUACACUCUAUUUGUCUAUGUAUUCACACAUGUACUAAGUUUCCAGUUAAUACAAUUCUAGCAUGAAUAAUAAACAUUUAUCAUGAUAUAAGGAAAUAUAAAUAACAACUUUAUUAUUGCCUCUAGGGCAUAUUUCCUUCAGUCUCCCACUUGCACUAGAGUCAAUAAUCUAGUUCACAUCGCCAUGUGAUUUAACACCAAUAGUUCACAUCUUUAUGUGAUUAACACCCAUAGUUCACAUCGCCAUGUGACCAACACUCAAAAGGUUUACUAGAGUCAAUAAUCUAGUUCACAUCGCUAUGUGAUUAACACCCAAGAGUAAUAAGGUAUGAUCAUGUUUUGCCCGUGAGAGAAAUUUUUAGUCUACGGGUUUGCAACAUUCAGAUCCAUAUGUAUUUUGCAAAUUUCUAUGUCUACAAUACUCUGCAUGGAGCUACUCUAGCUAAUUGCUCCCACUUUCAAUAUGUAUCUAGAUCGAGACUCAGAAUCAUCUAGAUCGGUGUCAAAGCUUGCAUCGACGUAACUCUUUACGAUGAACUCUUUGUCACCUCCAUAACCGAGAAAUAUUUCCUUAUUCUACUAAGGAUAGUUUUGACCAUUGUCCAGUGAUCUACUCCUAGAUCACUAUUGUACUCCCUUGCCAAACUCCGGGAGGGUAUACAAUAGGUCUAGUACAUAGCAUGGCAUACUUCAUAGAACCUAUGGCUGAGGCAUAGGGAAUGACUUUUCAUUCUCUUUCUAUUUUCUCCCGUGGUCGGGUUUUGAGUCUUAUUCAACUUCACACCUAGCAACACAGGCAAGAACUCCUUCUUUGAUUGCUCCAGUUUGAACUACUUCAAAAUCUUGUCAAGGUAUGUACUUAUUGAAAAACUUAUCAAGUGUCUUGAUCUAUCUCUAUAGAUCUUGAUGCUCAAUAUGUAAGCAGCUUCACCGAGGUCUUUCUUUGAAAAACUCCUUUCAAAUACUCCUUUAUGCUUUCCAGAAAAUUCUACAUUAUUUCCGAUCAACAAUAUGUCAUUGAUACGUCCAUUUUGCAUCAUGCUUUUAUGUCAAUAUUUAUUGCAUUAUGGGCUGUUAUUUCACGUUAUGUCACAAUACUUAUGGCUAUUCUCUCUUAUUUUACAAGGUUUACAUGAAGAGGGAGAAUGCCGGCAGCUGAAAUUCUGGGCUGGAAAAGGAGCAAAUAUUGAAGGACCACUCUACGCAACUCCAAAAGUCCUGAAACUCCACGGAAUACCUUAGAAUAAAUAAAGAAAAAUCUUCUCCAAAGAUGAAGGCCAGGGGGCCCACACCCUGCUCACGAGGGUGGGGGCACGCCCCCUGGGCAUGCCCCCUACCUCGUGGGCCCCCUGGUGGCGCUCCGACGCCCAUCUUCUCCUAUAUGAAGUCUUUCGAUGAGAAAAAAAUCAGGGAGAACCUUUCGGGACGAUACUCCACCGCCACGAGGCGGAACCUUGGCGGAACCAAUCUAGGGUUCCGGCAGAGCUGUUCUGCCGGAGACACUUCCCUCCGGGAGGGGGAAAUCAUCAUCAUCGUCAUCACAACGCUCCUCUCAUCGAGAGAGGGCAAUCUCCAUCAACAUCUUCACCAGCACCAUCUCAUAUCCAAACCCUAGUUCAUCUCUUGUAUCCAAUUCUUGUAUCCAAGUCCGGGAUUGGUGCUAUUAGGUUGCUAGUAGUGUUGAUUACUCUUUGUAGUUGAUGCUAGUUGGUUUAUUUGGUGGAAGACCAUAUGUUCAGAUCCUUUAUGCAUAUUAUUACCCCUCUGAUUACGAACAUGAAUAUGCUUUGUGAGUAGUUAUGUUUGUUCCUGAGGACAAGGGAGAAGUCUUGCUAUUAGUAGUCAUUUGACUUUGGUAUUCGUUCGAUAUUUUGACAAGAUGUAUGUUGUCUAACCUCUAGUGGUGUUAUGUGAACGUCGACUACAUAACACGUCACUAUUAUUUGGGCCUAGAGGAAGGCAUUGGGAAGUAAUAAGUAGAUGAUGGGUUGCUAGAGUGACAGAAGCUUAAACCCUAGUUUAUGCGUUGCUUCGUAAGGGGCUGAUUUGGAUCCACAUGUUUCAUGCUAUGGUUAGGUUUACCUUAAUACUUUUGUUGUAGUUGCGGAUGCUUGCAAUAGAGGUUAAUCAUAAGUGGGAUGCUUGUCCAAGUAAGGGAAGUACCCAAGCACCGGUCCACCCACAUAUCAAAUUAUCAAAGUACCGAACGCGAAUCAUAUGAGCGUGAUGAAAACUAGCUUGACGAUAUUCCCAUGUGUCCUCGGGAGCGCUUUUCCUAUUAUAAGAGUUUGUCCAGGCUUGUCCUUUGCUACAAAAAGGAUUGGGCCACCUUGCUGCACUUCAUUUACUUUUGUUACUUGUGGCUCAUUACAAUUUAUCCUAUCACAAAACUAUCUGUUACCACUUAUUUCAGUACUUGCAGAGAAUACCUUGCUGAAAACUGCUUAUCAUUUCCUUCUGCUCCUUGUUGGGUUCGACACUCUUACUUAUCGAAAGGACUACGAUAGAUCCCCUAUACUUGUGGGUCAUCAAGACUCUUUUCUGGCACCGUUGCCGGGGAGUGAAGCGCCUUUUAUUUAGUGUGAUGAAAUUUUCUGUCACUUCUUACUAUGGAAAGUAAUUGUUUGAGGGGCUUGUUCGGGGUAUCUUCACCCCGUCCGAUUGAGCCAAGAGUUGCUCCUCAACCCACUGAACCUACUGAAUCUAUUGAAAAUGGAACUCCUUUUGGAAUUCCUUCGGGUAUGAUGGAAAAACUGCUAGCUAACACUUUCGCAGGAGAUGGAACAAAGCAUCCUGACGAACAUCUAUGCUUUGUGGAUGAUAUUUGUGGACUAUUUAAGCUUGCAGGUAUACCUGAUGAUGUUGUUAAGAAGAAGGCUUUCCCUUUAUCUUUGGAGGGAGACGCAUUGACAUGGUAUAGGCUAUGUGAUGAUACGAGAUCAUGGAACUAUAAAAGAGUGAAAUUGGAAUUUCAUCAGAAGUAUUACCCUAUGCAUCUUGUUCAUCGUGAUCGCAAUUAUAUAUUUAAUUUUUGGCCUCGCGAAGGAGAAAGUAUCGCUCAAGCUUGGGGGAGGCUUAAAUCAAUGUUAUAUUCAUGCCCCAAUCAUGAGCUCUCAAAAUUGACAAUUCCCCAGAAUUUUUAUGCUCGGCUUUCUGAUAACAAUCGCACCAUGCUCGAUACUUCUUAUGCUGGCUCUUUUAUGAUGAAGCCUGUUGAAUUUGGAUGGAAUCUAUUGGAUAGAAUUAAAUGCAACUCUGAAGAUUGGGACCUCGACGAAGGUAAGGAGUCAGGUAUGACACCUAAGUUUUAUUGUGUUAAAUCUUUUAUGGAUACCGAUAUUUUCCGUAAGUUUAGCACUAAAUAUGGACUUGACUGUGAGAUAGUAGCUUCUUUCUGUGAAUCUUUUGCUACUUAUGUUGAUCUCCCCAAGGAGAAGUGGUUUAAAUAUCAUCCUCACAUAGAAGUAAAAGCAGUUGCACCUAUUAAAGUUGAAGAAAAGAUUGUCACUUAUAAUGAUCCUAUUGUUCCUACUUCUUAUGUUGAGAAACCUCCUUUCCCUGUUAGAAUGAAGGAUCAUGCUAAAGCUUCAACUGUUGUUCGUAAAAGUAAUAUUAGGACUUAUACACCUCCUGAGCAAGUCAAAGUAGAACCCAAUAUUGCUAUUGUUAAAGAUCUCUUGUCUGACAAUAUUGAUGGGCAUGUUAUUCAAUUUUGUGGUGAAACUGCCAGAAUUGCUAAACCUAGUGAUAAAGAUAAACAUAGACCUGUGGUAGGCGUGCCUGUUAUUUCUGUUAAAAUAGGAGAUCAUUGUUAUCAUGGCUUGUGUGAUAUGGGUGCUAGUGCUAGUGCUAUGCCCAUUGACUUAUACAAUGAAAUUAUGCAUGAUAUUGCACCUGCUAAGUUAGAAGGUAUCGAUGUUACAAUUAAACUUGCCAAUAGAGACACUAUUUCUCCAGUGGGAAUUGUUAGAGAUGUUGAAGUCUUGUGUGGGAAAACCAAAUAUCCCGCUGAUUUUCUUGUUCUUGGUUCCCCACAAGAUAGCUUUUGUCCCAUUAUAUUUGGUAGACCCUUCUUGAAUACUGUUAACGCUAAGAUAGAUUGCAAAAAGAAUGUUGUUACUAUUGGUUUGGACGAUAUGGUUCAUGAGUUUAAUUUCUCUAAAUUUAGUAAACAACAUCAUGAGGAAGAAUCACCUAGUAAGGAUGAAAUUAUUGGUCUUGCCUCUAUUGAUGUACCUCCUAAUGAUCCUUUAGAACAGUAUUUGCUAGAUCAUGAAAAUGAUAUGUUUAUGAAUGAAAGAAGGGAAAUAGAUGAAGUAUUCUUUAAACAGGAACCUAUUCUGCAACACAAUUUGCCUGUUGAAAUCCUAGGGGAUCCUCCUCCACCCAAGGGUGAUCUCGUUUUUGAGCUUGAACAGUUGCCUCAUAAUCUUAAAUAUGCUUAUUUGAUGAAAAGAAAAUAUAUCAUGUCAUUAUUAGCGCUAACCUUUCAGAGCAUGAAGAGGAAAUAUUAUUGAAAACUGUGAAGAAACAUCGUGUUGCUAUUGGAUAUACUCUGGAUGAUCUUAAGGGCAUUAGUCCCACUCUAUGUCAACAUAAAAUAAAUGUGGAAGCUGAUGCCAAACCAAUUUGUGAUCCUCAAUGAUGUUUGAAUCCUAAAAUGAAAGAAGUGGUAAGAAAAGAAAUACUCAAGCUUCUGGAGGCAGGUAUAAUUUAUCCCGUUGCUGAUAGUCAGUGGGUAAGUCAUGUUCAUUGUGUCCCUAAGAAGGGAGGUAUUACAGUUGUCCCUAAUGAUAAAGAUGAAUUGAUCCCUCAAAGAAUUAUCACAGGUUAUAUGAUGGUAAUUGAUUUCCAUAAAUUAAAUAAAGCUACUAAGAAAGAUCAUUACCCCUUACCUUUUAUUGAUCAAAUGCUAGAGAGGCUAUGCAAACAUACACAUUAUUGCUUUCUAAAUGGUUAUUCUAGUUUCUCUCAAAUACCUGUGUCAGCUAAAGAUCAAUCAAAGACUACUUUUACAUGCCCUUUUGGUACUUUUUCUUAUAGACGUAUGCCUUUUGGUUUAUGUAAUGCACCUGCUACCUUUCAAAGAUGCAUGAUGGCUAUAUUCUCUGACUUUCCCGAAAAGAUUUGUGAGGUUUUCAUGGAUGACUUUUCCGUCUAUGGUUCCUCUUUUGAUGAUUGCUUAAGCAAUCUUGAUCGAGUUUUGCAGAGAUGUGAAGAAACUAAUCUUGUCUUGAAUUGGGAAAAGUGCCACUUUAUGGUUAAUGAAGGUAUUGUCUUGGGGCACAAAGUUUCUGAAAGAGGUAUUCAAGUUGAUAAAGCCAAGGUUGAUGCUAUUGAAAAGAUGCCAUGUCCAAAGGACAUCAAAGGUAUAAGAAGUUUCCUUGGUCACGCCGGAUUUUAUAGGAGGUUCAUUAAGGACUUCGCAAAAAUCUCCCGGAUUUUAUAAGAUGCCAUGUACCGUUCGUCUUUGAUGAUGAUUCUGUAGAAGCAUUUGAAAUACUUAAGAAAGCACUAGUCUCUGCACCUGUUGUUCAGCCACCUGAUUGGAAUUUACCCUUUGAAAUUAUGUGUGAUGCUAGUGAUUAUGUUGUAGGUGAUGUUCUAGGGCGGAGAGUUGAUAAGAAAUUAAAUGUUAUCCAUUAUGCUAGUAAGACUCUAGAUAGUGGUCAAAGAAAUUAUGCUACUACCGAAAAGGAAUUUUUAGCAGUGGUGUUUGCUUGUGAUAAAUUCAGACCCUAUAUUGUUGAUUCCAAAGUUACUAUUCACACUGAUCAUGCUGCUAUUAAAUAUCUUAUGGAAAAAAGGAUGCAAAACCUAGACUUAUUAGAUGGGUUCUCCUACUUCAAGAAUUUGAUUUACAUAUUGUUGAUAGAAAGGGAGCUGAGAACCCCGUUGCAGACAACUUGUCUAGGCUAGAGAAUGUUCUUGAUGACCCACUACCUAUUGAUGAUAGCUUUCCUGAUGAGCAAUUAAAUGUCAUAAGUACUUCUCGUAGCACUCCAUGGUAUGCUGAUUAUGCUAAUUAUAUUGUUGCCAAAUUUAUACCGCCUAGCUUCACAUACCAACAAAAGAAAAAGUUUUUCUAUGACUUGCGACAUUACUUUUGGGAUGACCCACAUCUUUAUAAAGAAGGAGUAGAUGGUGUUAUUAGACAUUGUGUACCUGAGCAUGAACAGGAACAUAUCACUACUAGGGAAAAGCCUAGCAGCAGCGCGGGUUUUAGGCCUAUCAGUAGCGCGGGCAGGAGCGCUACUGAUAAGGCGCUACAGCUAAUGCUUAGCAAUAGCGCGCCUAGAUCCACGCUACUGCUAAAUUGACUUAGUAGUAGCGCUUCAUUACAACAGCGCUACUGGUAAUUAGUAGUAGCGCUUCUCCUUUCCCGCGAUACUACUAUUAUUUAGUAUUUUAUUUCUUUUUUAUUUCAUGUUGUAUUCAUACACCUUUACACAAGUUUUCAUACAACAGGAAUUUAGAGAUUGUUUUUACAUCAUAAUGAGUUGUUACAUCACGGGGUGAAAGAACCGUGGACUAGUUUCAAGUGGAUGCCCAUCCACUUGAAACUAAUCCGUGGUUCUUUCACCCAAUGAUAUAAUAAUAUCAUCAUCAUCAUCAUAUCAUUAACAACUUAUCAUCAUAAUACAUCAUUUUCAUAUAACACCUCAUUAUCAAGUACUCCUCAUUAUCAACUCUAACACAUUACCACAUAAUAAACAUAUUGUACCUCAUAGGACCUGUUACAUUCGAUUAAGACCUACUACAUUUUCUAAGGUAAAAUACCAAAAAACAAGAUAGCCCCUGACUCUCCAUUAUGGAGAAUGGAGAUUAGCCUGUCUCCAAUUCUUGCCUUUCGCUGAAUGUUACUUCCAAGAACCUCCUUGCGAAUGUCCAUACAUUUCUUCCAUUCUUUGAUGAACAUGUGUUCACGGGUUUUAGAAAUCCGAUAUGCACAGGUGAGCUCCGUAGAUUUACCUGGCAGUAUGUUCAGAACUGAGAGGCGACCGUGCAGAGACAUCAGAUGAGGCACACAAUCCAUCAGGAGUUUCUGUUGAAAACCAUAAUAAUAACUUCGUAGUUAGCAAUGAUGUACUAGUUUUAGAAGUAUGCAAAAGAUGCACGGAUGUUGUAAUAGUAAAAAAUCUUACCAGGGUAUCUCCAGAGAAGUUACCGUGGUUCAACUCAUGCACUAGUGGCACGUAUUCACCAUAAUUUGGAGGAGUUCGAUAAUAGUUAUUGUAAUUCUCAAGAAGAGUACAAAAUGCGAUCAGAUGAUUUUUCUCCUUAUACGUUAAUUCGGUGCCAUCGGUGUAGUGGGUUUUAUCUACCAUCUUCCGCACAAUCUUUGAAGAAUCAAAAUAAGCUGUCAAUGGAAAUAAGCUAUCAACUAUUUUGAAAUAAACAAUAUAAAUUAGCUAAUAACUAUGUUUGAGAAACUCACAUAGCGGUACAAUCGGAAGCGUAUCAACAAGUACCCAAAUGUCCAUAUUGUCUUGCUCGAUGUCAGGAUCACCAAGAUCCAUGAUGACAAUCAUACCCUCAUAAAAACCAUACAUUUUGCAAAGUGCUUCCCAAUUUUGGCAACCAAAAUGGGUUACGCUUUGAGCAUUGCACAGAUUUACUUCAAAAUCCAUAUCAUGAUGGGUCUUUAGGUGUAUUUUCUUUGUUUCGAAAUUUUCAUGGUCUUUAAAACCCAUCCUCUCCAAGACAAAGCGUCUUGCAUGGCAUGAGAUAAGCUAGUCGAAUUGUAAAAUAUGAAAAUUAGACAUUGAAAUAGUUGAAGUCAUACUUAAUUACGAAAAAAACACUUGUCGUUGUUGCGUACCGUUUCACAAUCGAAGAUCUCCUCGAGCUUAAUGCUGAAGCGCCGAUCUUUGUCAAGCUGAACGAACCUGUCGCACAUACCUCGAUCGUCGUGGCACCAGCUACACUCCUCCGGGAGACUGUCGUUGUCCGAGUACGACAUUUCCUACGUUCAUAAUUCAAAGAUUAAACUUUUAUAUAUUCUAGCACAAGUCAUGCCAGAAUUCACGAAAAAAUCCGGCAUGACCUUUGCUAAAAAAGGACAUAUCGAGCGCCUAAAAUUUGCCAGAACGGAAAUUAAUCAACACUCCGGCAAAACAUAGGCCACUCGGAGAUGUAAACUGAACAUGAACGGCCACUUGGCAACCACAUAUCCUAUUUGAGCAACAACACAAGAUAUACAAGGAUAUUUGGCUGGUCUCACCUCGAUGUCGGAGGGGGUCGGUGACUGGGACGAUGGCGGGGAUGUCGGAGGGGGUCGGUGAUGGGGACGAUGGUGGUCACCUGAAACCAUAUAAGUUAUCACUAAUACUUCCCGAAUAAUUGCUUAAACUAAAAAAUAACAACAAAUAUGACAUGUUCAACUAGUUUUAUUAAUUCAACUAGUUCUUACUAAAUAUAAACUUACUAUAAAUAGAAAAAACUAGUUCUUUCUAAAAAUAAAGUAGUUCAACUAGUUAUAUUAAUUAUCUUACUAAAAAUACAUUAGUUCUAUUAAUUCAACUAGUUCAACUAGUUUAUUAAUUUACUUACUAAACUAGUUCAACUACAACUAAAGUAGUUCAACUACAACUACUAUUAAUCAUACUGCCCUAGUUAACUAGUACCAUCACUACUAGUAAUUAACAUCUACUACUACUAAAAAUCUAGUACUAACUAAGCAACAUCUAGUACUAGCUAUGAACCCUAAAUUAACAUGUAUAACUACUAAAUCUAGUACUAACUAGUGGCAGGGGGUGGGGGCGAUGGAGAGGUAGCUAGGGGCGGCGAGGUCGAGGGCGGUGGGAGGAGGGCUGCCAGCGGAGGAGGGAGGAGGGGCGGCCGCAGGCGGAGGGAGGAGGGCGGCAGAGGAGGAGGGAGGGGCGGCCGCAGGCGGAGGGACGAUGUGCGAGGAGGAGGGAGGAGGGACGAAAGGAGGGGAGUACCUCGGCGGCGGACGGACGAAGGUGGCGGCGGCGACGACGCACGACGAUGGUUAUCGGCACGGGGGCAAGAGUGAGAGUGUGAGUGAGGGCCGGUCGUGCGCGUGUGGGGAGAUAAGGUAGGGAUAGUUGUAGCGCGUUUGACAAAAUGCGCUACAGCUAAUCUCAAUAGUAGUAGCACUUUGCAUAUAAACCGCUACUGCUAAGUGUAACUAUACAAAAAAUACUAGUAUGCAAAAAUACAUUGGCCAUCAAUUAUCUUUUUGUGUACAAUCUGAAUUGUCAAUAUGAGUCCUCUCCGGUUUACAAUCUGAAUUGUCAAUAUGAGUCCUCUCCGGUAGGAACCGGAGAGGACUCAUAUUGCGGCCACAAAUUUUACACAUAGAGUUUAGUGAAGACCAACUGGUUGUGGUAGUUUCAAAAAUAACAUAUUUAAGGUGGUAAACACCCUGUUCACGGAGCGAGGUGGGACUAAACUUGUAGGCUGAUCUUAGCAGUAGCGGUUUUCCUAGAAGAGCGCUGCUGCUAACUUCUAUAGCAGUAGCGCUGUUCAAUAUUGUGCGCUACUGCUAUAACUAGCGGGGGGGCGAGGUCAUGGCAAUUAUAGCAGUAGCGCGGUUUGUGGUGGACGCGCUACUGCUAUUUUCCUGUCAGCAGCGUGUUUCGGUAACACGCACUGCUGCUAAAUAGCAGUAGCGUGGUAUUUUGGGGAGCGCUGCUGGUAAGAUUCUUUGUAUAGGCUUUUCCCUAGUAGUGUAUCCUACGUAAGUGUCACUCCGAAGCUUAUGGAGGACAUCACGCUAGAGGUAGAACUGCACAUAAGGUAUUGCAAUCCGGUUUUUAUUGGCCUACUCUCUUCAAGGAUGCCCGUAAGUUUGUUUUUUCUUGCGAUGAAUGUCAAAGAAUUGGUAAUAUCAGUAGACGUCAAGAAAUGCCUAUGAAUUAUUCACUUGUUAUUGAGCCAUUUGAUGUUUGGGGCUUUGAUUAUAUGGGACCUUUUCCUGCCUCUAGUGGUUACACUCAUAUUCUAGUUGCUGUUGAUUACGUUACUAAGUGGGUAGAAGCUAUUCCAACUAGUAGUGCUGAUCAUAACACUUCUAUUAAAAUGCUUAAGGAAGUUAUUUUUCCGAGGUUUGGAGUCCCUAGAUACUUAAUGACUGAUGGUGGUUCACACUUUGUUCAUGGUGCUUUCCGUAAUAUGCUUGAUAAAUACAAUGUUAAUCAUAGAAUUGCAUCUCCUUAUCACCCGCAAUCUAGUGGUCAAGUAGAGUUGAGCAACAGAGAGCUCAAAUUAAUUUUGCAAAAGACUGUUAAUAGGUCUAGAAAGAAUUGGUCCAAGAAACUUGAUGAUGCAUUAUGGGCCUAUAGAACUGCAUAUAAAAAUCCUAUGGGUAUGUCUCCGUACAAAAUGGUCUAUGGAAAAGCUUGUCACUUACCUCUCGAGCUAGAACAUAAGGCAUAUUGGGCUAUUAAAGAGCUCAACUAUGAUUUCAAACUUGCUGGUGAGAAGAGGUUAUUUGAUAUUAGCUCACUUGAUGAAUGGAGAGCCCAAGCAUAUGAAAAUGCCAAGUUGUUUAAAGAAAAAGUUAAAAGAUGGCAUGACAAAAGGAUACAAAAGCGUGAGUUUAAUGUAGGUGAUUAUGUAUUGGCAUACAACUCUCAUUUAAGAUUUUUUGCAGGAAAACUUCUCUCUAAAUGGGAAGGUCCCUACGUUAUCGAGGAGGUAUAUCCUUCCCGUGCCAUAAAAAUCAACAACUUCACAGGCACAAAUCCGAAGGUGCUAAACGGUCAAAGGAUCAAACACUAUAUCUCAGGUAAUCCUAUAAAUGUUGAAACUAAUAUUAUUGAAACCGUGACCCCAGAGGAGUAUAUAAAGGACACUUUCCAGAACAUUCCAGACUCCGAAAAGGAAUAGGUAUGUGGUACGGUAAGUAAACCGACUCCAAAACAAGUUUUAAGGCAAUAUUUCUCCGUUUUGGAAUAUUUAGAAAAAUAGAAAAAUAAGUAGCAGUCCGGGGAGGACACGAGGCCUCCACGAGGGUGGAGGGCGCGCCCUACCCCCCUGGGCGCGCCCCCUACCUCGUGAGCACCUUGUGUGCCCUCCGGACUCUGUUUCCUUGCAUGAUAUGUAUUUUGGUCAGUAAAAUUUCAUUAUAUAUACUCCCGAAGAUUUUGACCACCGUAUCACGCAAAUAUCCUCUGUUUUCGUUUCGAGCUAUUUCCGUUGCAGAUUUAGAGCACCAUGACUUCUUCCUCUUCCAACAAUGAAGGCAAGGAUGCUUGGCUAUUAAAGAUAGAGUUGAAAAGAGAGGAACCAGAAGAAAUCAACAAGGAUGAAAGGAUCAAGAAGGCCAUGGAUGUUCAAGCUCCGGUGGUGAAUGAAGAAUUCAUCCCUCAACCCUUACCUAACCUUUUCACUCCAACAGAGAUUGAAGCUUUCAAGAUGAUUGAGUUAACCCGCAUACAGAACAAGUAUCUUACACAGGAGAAUAUUUUGUUGAAGGAUCAUAUUGCUGGGCUCAAGGGCAUUAUCCGCAAGUUGGAGGAACUUUUACGCUCGAUGUGCGAUUAUCCACCGUCAUCAUCACCACCUCCAUCACCUCUAAGGAUAUAAUCAAAUGGGUAUGGGCACUCCCCUUGGCAACUGCCAAGCUUGGGGGAGGUGCCCUGGUAUCAUAUCACCAUCACAACUUCUAUCUUUACCGUUUUUCUUAGUUCGAUCCUAUUAGUAGUAUCUUGAUAUAGUAGAAUAAAGUCAUGGCAUGAUCUAGUUUUGAGUUUUGCUUUAUGAUCCUUCUUUGUAAUCGAGUCCGUGAGCUAUAUAAUAAAGAUUAGUGUCGAGUCAAGGGAUUGAUUGUUUUGCCAUGAUCUUGGGUGAUUAGAAGAAAAAGAAUAAAAAGAAUCAAGAGUUCAUAUUGAUCUUAUUGAAAGUAAUGACUUCACAUAGAAAGAGUAUGAUGAUUUAAAGUUGUUGGGAGUUGGCAAAUAUAGCUUUGGUCAUCGUUGCAAUUAAUAGGAAGUAAUAAGGAAAGAGAGGUUUCACAUAUAGAUAUAUUAUCAUUGACAUCUUUUAUGGUUGGGAGCACUCAUUAAAAUAUGACAUGCUAAAGAGUUGAGGUUGGACAAGGAAGACAACAUAAUGAGUUAUGUUUUCUUACAUUCAAGAUAAAGUAUGUUGUCAUGGAUCCUCUACCGUGUUGAGCUUGCCUUUCCCCCUCAUGCUGGCCAAAUUCUUAGCACCAAGUAGAAAUAGAAAUACUACUUGUGCUUCCAAACACCCUUAAACCAGUGUUGCCAUGAGAGUCCACCAUAUCUACCUAUGGAUUGAGUAAGAUCCUUCAAGUAAGUUGUCAUCGGUGCAAGCAAUAAAAAUUUCUCUCUAAAUAUGCAUGACUUAUUAAUGUAGAGAAAUAAGCUUUGCACGAACUUGUUGUGGACGCAAUAAAAGCGACAAACUACAUAAUAAAGGUUCACAUGCAAGGGGCAAUAUAAAGUGACGUUCUUUUGCAUUAAGAUUUUGUGAAUCAACCCUAAACGCGCAUGACAACCUCUGCUUCCAUCUGCAAAGGGCUAUCUUUUAUUAUUAUCCUCUACCUUAUGCAAGAGUCACGGUGAUCCUCACCAUUCCUUUUUCAUUUUUUCCUUUGGCAAGCUCAGCAUGUUGGAAAUAGUAUGAUAUACAUAUCUAAUUGGAUGUGGGGGAGCAUGAAUUAUUAUUGUUAACAUUACCCUUGAGGUAAAAGGUUGUGGGGCAAAACUAUAAGCCCCUAUCUUUCUCUGUGUCCGAUUAAAACUCCGUAACCACAAGUAUCGCGUGAGUGCUAGCAAUUAUGAAGGACUAAAUGAUAGUUGAGUAUGUGGACUUGCUUUUAAGCUCUGACAUAGACUCUUUCCGAUGUUAUGUUAAAUCGCAAUUGCUUCAAUGACUGAGAUUAUAAUUGUUAGUGCCCAAUAAUGUUUCUGAUUCAUGCUUUGGCUUUGUGAAUAGGUCAUUACUUGAACAUGAGUAAUCAUAUGACAAAAUCUAUUUAUAUUGCUGUUAUGAAAUAAUCAUGAUGCCUUCAUGUCCGUAUUUUAAUUUUUAUCGACGCCUCUACCUCUAAACAUGAGAACAUAUUUAUUGUUAUCGGCUUUUCGCUUGAGGACAAGCGAGGUCUAAGCUUGGGGGAGUUGAUACGUCCAUUUUGCAUCAUGCUUUUAUGUCAAUAUUUAUUGCAUUAUGGGCUGUUAUUUCACGUUAUGUCACAAUACUUAUGGCUAUUCUCUCUUAUUUUACAAGGUUUACAUGAAGAGGGAGAAUGCCGGCAGCUGGAAUUCUGGGCUGGAAAAGGAGCAAAUAUUGAAGGACCAUUCUGCGCAACUCCAAAAGUCCUGAAACUCCACAGAAUACCUUAGAAUAAAUAAAGAAAAAUUGUCGCCAAAGAUGAAGGCCAGAGGGCCCACACCCUGCUCACGAGGGUGGGGGGCGCGCCCCCCCCCUGGGCGCCCCCCUACCUCGUGGGCCCCCUGGUGGCUCUCCGACACCCAUCUUCUCCUAUAUGAAGUCUUUCGAUGAGAAAAAAAUCAGGGAGAACCUUUCGGGACGAGACUCCGCCGCCACGAGGCGGAACCUUGGCGGAACCAAUCUAGGGCUCCGGCAGAGCUGUUCUGCCGGAGACACUUCCCUCCGGGAGGGGGAAAUCAUCAUCAGCGUCAUCACAAUGCUCCUCUCAUUGGGAGAGGGCAAUCUCCAUCAACAUCUUCACCAGCACCAUCUCAUCUCCAAACCCUAGUUCAUCUCUUGUAUCCAAUUCUUGUCUCCAUGUCCGGGAUUGGUGCUAUUAGGUUGCUAGUAGUGUUGAUUACUCUUUGUAGUUGAUGCUAGUUGGUUUAUUUGGUGGAAGACCAUAUGUUCAGAUCCUUUAUGCAUAUUAUUACCCCUCUGAUUAUGAACAUGAAUAUGCUUUGUGAGUAGUUACGUUUGUUCCUGAGGACAAGGGAGAAUUCUUGCUAUUAUUAGUCAUGUGAAUUUGGUAUUCGUUUGAUAUUUUGAUAAGAUGUAUGUUGUCUAACCUCUAGUGGUGUUAUGUGAACGUCGACUACAUAACACUUCACCAUUAUUUGGGCCUAGAGGAAGGCAUUGGGAAGUAAUAAGUAGAUGAUGGGUUGCUAGAGUGACAGAAGCUUAAACCCUAAUUUAUGCCUUGCUUCCUAAGGGGCUGAUUUGGAUCCACAUGUUUCAUGCUAUGGUUAGGUUUACCUUAAUACUUUUGUUGUAGUUGUGUAUGCUUGCAAUAGAGGUUAAUCAUAAGUGGGUUGCUUGUCCAAGUAAGGGCAGUACCAAAGCACUGGUCCACCCACAUAUCAAAUUAUCAAAGUACCGAACGCGAAUCAUAUGAGCGUGAUGAAAACUAGUCAUCCACAUAUACCUAUCAGAAAGGUUGUAGUGCUACCACUCACCAUUUGUAAAUACAUGCUUCACCGUAAGUCUGUAUAAAACAAUAUGCUUUGAUCAACUCAUCAAAGCGUAUAUUCCAACUCCGAGAUGCUUGCACCAGUCCAUAGAUGGAACGCUGGAGCUUUGCACACUUUGUUAGCACCUUUAGGAUCGACAAAAUCUUCUGGUUGCAUCAUAUACAACUCUUCUUUAAGAAAUCCAUUAAGGAAUACAUGUUUGACAUCCAUUUGCCAAAUUUCAUAAAAUGCGACAAUUGCUAACAUGAUUCGGACAGACUUUGAAGCAUCGAUACAAGUGAGAAAAUCUCAUUGUAGUCAACAUCUUGAACUUGUCGAAAACAUUUUGUGACAAUUCGAGCUUUGUAGAUAGUUACACUACUAUCAGCGUCCGUCUUCCUCUUGAAGAUCCAUUUAAUCUCAAUGGCUUGUCGAUCAUCGGGAAAGUCAAUCAAAGUCCAUACUUUGUUCUCAUACAUGGAUCCCAUCUCAGAUUUCAUGGCCUCAAGCCAUUUCGCAGAAUCUGGGCUCAUCAUCGCUUCCUCAUAGUUCGUAGGUUCGUCAUGGUCUAGUAACAUGACUUCCAGAAUAGGAUUACCAUACCACUCUGGUGCAGACUGUACUCUGGAAGACCUAUGAGGUUCUGUAGUAACUUGAUCUGAAGUUUCAUGAUCAUUAUGUUUAGCUUCCUCACUAAUUGGUGUAGGAAUCACUCGAACUGAUUUCUAUGAUGAACUACUUUCCAAUUUGGGAGAAGGUACAGUUACCUCAUCAAGCUCUACUUUCCUCCCACUCACUUCUUUUGAGAGAAACUCCUUCUCUAGAAAGGAUCCAUUUUAGCAACGAAUAUCUUGCCUUCGGAUAUGUGAUAGAAGGUGUACCCACCAGUUUUCUUUUGGGUAUUCUAUGAAGACGCACUUCUCUGAUUUGGGUUCGAGCUUAUCAGGUUGAAACUUUUUCACAUAAACAUCGCAGCCGCAAACUUUAAGAAACGACAACUUUGGUUUCUUGCCAAACCACAGUUCAUAAGGCGUCAUCUCAAAGGAUUUUGAUGGUUCCCUGUUUAACGUGAAUGCAGCUGUCUCUAAUGCAUAACCCCAAAACGAUAGUGGUAAAUCGGUAAGAGACAUCAUAGGUCGCACCAUAUCCAAUAAAGUGUGGUUACGACAUUCAGACACACCAUUAUGUUGUGGUGUUCCAGGUGGCGUGAGGUGUGAAACUAUUCCACAAAUUGUUUUAAAUGAAGGAAAAACUCGUAACUCAAAUAUUCUCCUCUACGAUCAGAUCGUAGAAACUUUAUUUUCUUGUUAUGAUGAUUCUCCACUUUACUCUGGAAUUCUUUGAACUUUUCAAAUGUUUCAGACUUGUGUUUGAUUAAAUAGAUAUACCCAUAUCUGCUCAAAUCAUCUGUGAAGGUCAGAAAAUAACGAUACCCGCCAUGAGCAUCAACACUCAUUGGACCGCAUACAUCAGUAUGUAUUAUUUCCAAUAAGUCACUACCUCGUUCCAUUGUUCCGGAGAAUGGAGUUUUAGUCAUCUUGCCCAUAAGGCACAGUUCGCAAGCAUCAAAUGAUUCACAAUCCAGUGAUUCCAAAAAUCCAUCUUUAUGGAGUUUCUUCAUGCACUUUACACAGAUAUGACCCAAACUGCAGUGCCACAAAUAUGUUGCACUAUCAUGAUCAACUUUGCAUCUUUUGGCAUCAAUAUUAUGAAUAUGUGUAUCACCACGAUCAAGAUUUAAUAAACCAUCAACAUUGGGUGUAUGACCAAAGAAGGUUUUGUUCAUGUAAACAGAAUAACAAUUUAUUCUCUGUCUUAGAUGAAUAAUCGUAUCGCAAUAAACAUGAUCUAAUCAUAUUUGUGCUCAACGCAAACACCAAAUAACAUUUAUUUAGGUUCAACACUAACCUCGAAAGUAUAGAGAGUGUGCGAUGAUGAUCAUAUCAAUCUUGGAACCACUUCCAACACAUAUUGUCACUUCACUCUCAACUAGUCUCUGUUUAUUCUUAACUCCUGUUUCGAGUUACUAAUUUUAGCAACCGAACAAGUAUCAAAUACCCAGGGGCUACUAUAAACACUAGUAAGGUACACAUCAACAACCUGUAUAUCAAAUAUACCCUUGUUCACUUUGCCAUCCUUCUUAUCCACCAAAUAUUCAGGGCAUUUCCGCUUCAAGUGACUAUUUCCUUUGUAGUAAAAGCUCACGUUCUAGCUUUGGGCUUCUUCACGGGAGUGACAACUUGCUUGCCAUUCUAUUUGAAGUUCCCUUUCUUUCCCUUUGCCCUUUUCUUGAAACUAGUGGUCUUGUCAAUCAUCAACACUUGAUGCUCUUUCUUGAUUUCUACCUUUGUCGAUUUCAGCAUCACGAAGAGAUCAGGAAUCAUUUUCGUCAUCCCUUGCAUAAUAUAGUUCAUCACGGAGUUCCAGUAGCUUGGUGAUGGUGACUAGAGAACUCUGUCAAUCACUAUCUUAUCUGGAAGAUUAACUCCCACUUGAUUCAAGCGAUUGUAGUACCCAGACAAUCUGAGCACAUGCUCACUGCUUGAGCUAUUCUCCUCCAUCUUUUAGCUAUAGAACUUGUUGGAGAAUUCAUAUCUCUCAACUCAGGUAUUUUCUUGAAAUAUUAACUUCAACUCCUAGAACAUCUCAUAUGGUACAUGACGUUCAAAACGUCUUUGACGUCCCGAUUCUAAGUCGUUAAGCAUGGUGCACUAAACUAUUAAAUAGUCAUCAUAUUGAGCUAGCCAAACGUUCAUAACGUCUGCAUCUGCUCCUGCAAUAGGUUUAUCACCUAACGGUGCAUCAAGGACAUAAUUUAUCUGUGUAGUACUGAGGAUAAUGUUGGGGAACGUUGCAGAAAAUAAAACAUUUCCUACGGUUUCACCAAGAUAAAUCUAUGAGUUCAUCUAGCAACGAGAGAGAGGAGUGCAUCUACAUACCCUUGUAGAUCGAGCGGAAGCGUUCAAGGGAACGGGGUUGAGGGAGUCGUACUCAUCGUGAUCCAAAUCACCAGAGAUCCUAGCGCCGAACGGACGGCACCUCCGCGUUCAACACACGUAUGAUCAGGAGACGUCUCCUCCUUCUUGAUCCAGCAAGGGGGAAGGAGAGGUUGAUGAAGAUCCAGCAGCACGACGGCGUGGUGGUGGAUGCAGCAGGGAUCCCGGUAGGGCUUCGCCAUGCAUCUGCGAGAGGGAGAGGUGUAGCAAGGGGGAAGGGAGGCGCCAAGUGCAAGGGUGUGGCUGCCCUCCCUCCCCCCUCUUUAUAUAGGGCCCCUAGGGGGAGCGCCGGCCCUAGGAGAUGGGAUCUCCAAAGGGGGGCGGCGGCCAAGGGGGAGCCUUGCCCCCCAAGGCAACUGGAGGCGCCCCCCCCCCCACCCCUAGGGUUUCCAACCCUAGGCGCAGGGGGGCCCAAGGGGCGCGCACCAACCUACCUGGGGCUGGUUCCCCUCCCACUUCAGCCCAUGGGGCCCUCCGAGAUAGGUGGCCCCACCCGGUGGACCCCCAGGACCCUUCCGGUGGUCCCGGUACAAUACCGGUGACCCCCGAAACUUUCCCGAUGGCCGAAACUCGACUUCCUAUAUAUAAUUCUUUGCCUCUGGACCAUUCUGGAACUCCUCGUGACGUCCGGGAUCUCAUCCGGGACUCCAAACAACUUUCAGUUUACUGCAUACUCAUAUCUCUACAACCCUAGCGUCACCGAACCUUAAGUGUGUAGACCCUACGGGUUCGGGAGACAUGCAGACAUGACCGAGACGCCUCUCCUGUCAAUAACCAACAGCGGGAUCUGGAUACCCAUGUUUGCUCCCACAUGCUCCUCGAUGAUCUCAUCGGAUGAACCACGAUGUCGAGGAUUCAAACAACCCCGUAUACUAUUCCCUUUGUCAAUCGGUACGUUACAUGCCCGAGACUCGAUCGUCGGUAUCCCAAUACCUCGUUUAAUCUCGUUACCGGCAAGUCACUUUACUCAUACCAUAAUGCAUGAUCCCGUGACCAGACACUUGGUCACAUUGAGCUCAUUAUGAUGAUGCAUUACCGAGUGGGCCCAGAGAUACCUCUUCGUCAUACGGAGUGAAAAAUCCCAGUCUCGAUUUAUGCCAACCCAACAGACACUUUCGGAGAUACCCGUAGUGCACCUUUAUAGUCACCCAGUUACGUUCUGACGUUUGGUACACCCAAAGCACUCCUACGGUAUCCGGGAGUUGCACAAUCUCAUGGUCUAAGGAAAUGAUACUUGACAUUUGGAAAAGCUCUAGCUAAACGAACUACACGAUCUUUGAGCUAUGCUUAGGAUUGGGUCUUGUCCAUCACAUCAUUCUCCUAAUGAUGUGAUCCCAUUAUCAAUGACAUCCAAUGUCCAUAGUCAGGAAACCAUGACUAUCUGUUGAUCAACGAGCUAGUCAACUAGAGGCUCACUAGGGACAUGUGGUGGUCUAUGUAUUCACACGUGUAUUACGAUUUCCGGAUAAUACAAUUAUAGCAUGAAUAAAAGACAAUUAUCAUGAACAAAGAAAUAUAAUAAUAACCAUCUUAUUAUUGCCUCUAGGGCAUAUUUCCAACAGAUAAACCUCAUAUCACGGACCCAAUCUGCAUCAUUGCUACUAUCAUCUUUCAACUUAGUUUUCUCUAGGAACACAUAUAAAAACAUAGGGAAGCAACAACGUGAGCUAUUGAUCUACAACAUUAUUUGCAAAAUGCUAUCAGGACUAAGUUCAUGAUAAAUUAAAGUUCAAUUAAUCAUAUUACUUAAGAACUCCCACUUAGAUAGACAUCCCUCUAGUCAUCUAAAUGAUCACGUGAUCCAAAUCAACUAAACCAUGUCCGAUCAUCACGUGAGAUGGAGUAGUUUUCAAUGGUGAACAUCACUAUGUUGAUCAUAUCUACUAUAUGAUUCACGCUCGACCUUUCGGUCUCCAGUGUUCCGAGGCCAUAUCUGCAUAUGCUAGGCUCAUCAAGUUUAACCCGAGUAUUCUGCAUUUGCAAAACUAGCUUGCACCGGUUGUAUGUGAAUGUAGAGCCUAUCACACCCGAUCAUCACAUGGUGUCUUAGCACGAAGAACUGUAGCAACGUGCAUACUCAGGGAGAACACUUAUACCUUGAAAUUUAGUGAGAGAUCAUCUUAUAAUGCUACCGUUGAACUAAGAAAAAUAAGAUGCAUAAAAGAUAAACAUCACAUGCAAUCAAUAUAAGUGAUAUGAUAUGGCCAUCAUCAUCUUGUGCCUUUGAUCUCCAUCUCCAAAGCACCGUCAUGAUCACCAUCGUCACCGGCGCGACACCUUGAUCUCCAUCAUAGCAUCGUUGUCGUCUCGCCAACUAUUGUUUCCACGACUAUCGCUAUUGCUUAGUGAUAAAGUAAAAACAAUUACAGGGCGAUUGCAUUGCAUACAAUAAAGCGACAACCAUAUUGCUCCUGCCAGUUGCCGAUAACUCUGUUACAAAACAUGAUCAUCUCAUACAAUAAAAUUUAGCAACAUGUGUUGACCAUAUCACAUCACAACAUGCCCUGCAAAAACAAGUUAGACGUCCUCUACUUUGUUGUUGCAAGUUUUACGUGGCUGCCAUGGGCUGAGUAAGAACCGUUUUUACCUAUGCACCAAAACCUCAACGAUUUUUCGUCAAGUAUGUGUUGUUUUAACCUUCAACAAGGACCAGGCGUAUCCAUACUCGAUUCAACUAAAGUUGGAGAAACUGACACCCGCUAGCCACCUAUGUGCGAAGCACGUCGGUAGAACCAGUCUCGCGUAAGCGUACACGUAAUGUUGGUCCGGGCCCCUUCAUCCAACAAUACCGCCGAACCAAAGUAUGACAUGCUGGUAAGCAGUAUGACUAUUAUCGUCCACAACUCACUUGUGUUCUACUCGUGCAUAUAACAUCGACGCAUAAACCUGGCUCGAAUGCCACUGUAGGGAAACGUGGUAAUUUCAUAAAUUUCCUACGCUCACGCAAGAUCAUGGUGAUGCAUAGCAACGAGAGGGGAGAGUGUUGUCCAUGUAUCCUCGUAGACUGAAAGCGGAAGCGUUAUGACAACGCAGUUGAUGUAGUCGUACGUCUUCACGAUCGACCGAUCCUAGUACCGAACAUACGACACCUCCGCGAUCUGCACACGUUCAGCUCGGUGACGUCCCAAGAACUCCGAUCCAGCAGAGUGUCGAAGGAGAGUUUCGUCAGCACGAUAGCGUGAUGACGAUGAUGAUGAAGCUACCGGCGUAGGGCUUCGCGUAAGCACUGCAACAAUAUGACCGAGGUGGAUUAUGGUGAAGGGGGGCACCGCACACGGCUAAGAGAUCAAUGGUCAACUUGUGUGUCUACGGGGUGCCCCCCCCUCCGUAUAUAAAGGAGUGGAGGAGGGGGAGGGACGGCCCUCUACUAUGGCGCGCCCUGGGGAGUCCUACUCCCACCAGGAGUAGGAUUACCCCCCUUCCAAGUAGUAGGAGUAGGAGAGAAGGAAAGGGAAGAGAUAAGAGAAGAAAGGAGGGGGCGCCGCCCCUCCCCCUAGUCCAAUUAGGACUAGGCCUUGGGGGGGUGCGCGGCCUGCCCUAGGUAGCCCCUCUCUCUCUCCCUUAAAGCCCAAUAAGGUCCAUAUACUCCCCGGUGAAUUCUCGUAACUCUCCGGUACUCCGAUAAAUACCCGAACCACUCAGAACCUUUUCAAUGUCCGAAUAUAGCCUUCCAAUAUAUCGAUCCUUACGUCUCGAAAAUUUCGAGACUCCUACUCAUGUCCCUGAUCUCAUCCGGGACUCCGAACAACCUUAGGUACAUCAAAACACAUAAACUCAUAAUACCGAUCGUCACCAAACGUUAAGCGUGCGGACCCUACGGGUUCGAGAACUAUGUAGACAUGACUGAGACUCAUCUCCGGUCAAUAACCAAUAGCAGAAUCUGGAUGCUCAUAUUGGCUCCUACAUAUUCUACGAAGAUCUUUAUCGGUCAAACCGCAAAACAACAUACGUUGUUCCCUUUGUCAUCGGUAUGUUACUUGCCCGAGAUUCGAUCUUCGGUAUCACCGUACCUAGUUCAAUCUCGUUAUUACUCGUUCCAUAAUGCAUCAUCUUGCAACUAACUCAUUAGCCACAUUGCUUGCAAGGCUUAUAGUGAUGUGCAUUACCGAGAGGGCCCAGAGAUACCUCUCCGACAAUCGGAGUGACAAAUCCUAAUCUCGAUCUAUGCCAACUCAACAAACACGAUCGGAGACACCUGUAGAGCACCUUUAUAAUCACCCAGUUAAGUUGUGACGUUUGGUAGCACACAAAGUGUUCGUCUGGUAUUCGGGAGUUGCAUAAUCUCAUAGUCAUAGGAACAUGUAUAAGUCAUGAAGAAAGCAAUAGCAACAUACUAAACGAUCAAGUUCUAAGCUAACGGAAUGGGUCAAGUCAAUCACAUCAUUCUCUAAUAAUGUGAUCUCAUUAAUAAAAUGACAACUCAUGUCUAUGGCUUGGAAACUUAACCAUCUUUGAUUCAACGAGCUAGUCAAGUAGAGGCAUACUAGUGACACUCUGUUUGUCUAUGUAUUCACAGAUAUACUAAGUCUCCGGUUAAUACAAGUAUAGCAUGAAUAAUAAACAUUUAUCAUGAUAUAAGGAAAUAUAAAUAACAACUUUAUUAUUGCCUCUAGGGCAUAAUUCCUUCAACUGCUAGUGGACAUCAUCAAGGAAAAGAAUAAAAACUUUUUAGGUUUUUACACCGGACCACACUUUUUCUCCUCAAGCACCCGCCUCCUGCAUAGGACCCGCUUCCCUAUCUGAAUAUACUUUUCCUGCCGUCCGAUCCUACGUGGCAUGCGAGGCAUCACCAUGAGGCUAUGCAUUGGUCAUGCCUUUAUGAGGUAUUUGGUUGCCUGUGUUCACUGUUCACUGUUGGGUCUGCAUCGCACGGAACUUAAAGCAGUUCUCAGUCAGGCCCGUUAGGAACUGCCGAAUGAGCAAUUUCAGCUAGCCAGUUAGAGUUGAGCCACAUUGAACAUACAUUGUGGGCCUCUUGCACAAGAGUAUGCCAGUGCGAUGCAAGCUAGUAUACAACUUGUAGGUGCUAUAUUCUCCUACCUCCAUUAAACUCCUCUCUAAUCUUCUUUCUUCCUUGUCUCCCUUCUAAUCUACAUAAUGGUACUUCGAUUCGAGAUAAGCUCUACACGGAAAAGAUGCACAUCGAUGUUAUGGUUCCAUUCAGACCAUUGGUACAUAGUUUCAUCGAUUGUAAAUGCUUAAUUUCGUGUUCAUGUUUGGAGUUAUUUUAGAAAAAAUUGGUCAAAUUUGUCGCACAUGUUGACCGUUUGAAAUUUCCUUUGACCAGUAGCUUCAUCUAGUAGUUUCACAAGACUUUGUAUUGCAUAUUUUCUAUUUCGAGGAUUGUAGGCGAGUAGGUCUACAUCUUCCUCAUGAACUGUACAUAUGCAUAUGUGUGAUAUAUUUUAAUGACACUCCUUAAUCUCCUUCAUCCUUUCUAAUCCGCCUCUCGGCCUCCUCUCGUGCGUCCUACUACACUGGCACCACCGCCGACGUUGUUCCUCUCGACCUCCUCUCCUACGUCUCGUUGCAUUGUCAUCAUCACCAGCGUUGUUCCUCUCAACCUCCUCUCCCGCACCUUGGUGCACUGUCAUCACCGCCAGCGUGGUUCCUCUCGGCCUCCUCGCCCGCAUCAUACUACACUGACGCCAUCAUCGACAUUGUUCCUCUCGGCCUCUUUGCAGUGUCCUACUACACUGGUGCCGUCCUCGGCAUUGUUCCUUUCGGCAUCCUCUCCCUCGUCCUACUAAACCUAUGCUGCCAUGGCACGCACACUGCAUUUUUUUCUCCUCUGUAAUCUGCCUCAAUGCCCUUAUAUUCCUCCCUCCGCGCGGAUUUUCUCUAUGGCGACGACGCAAGCGACUAGUUCGCCGCGUCGCUGUCGGACAGUGGUCGCGAUGUCGCGCCCGACAGCGGCGCAGCGAAGUAGUUGCUAAGCGACUAGUUCGCCGCGUCGCUGUCGGACACUGGUCGCGAUGUCGCGUCCGACGGCGGCGCAGCGAAGUAGUUGCUUGCAUCGUCGCCACCACCAUCCACCACGUUUUUAGGUCAGCCGUCGGGUUAGUGGUAGAUAAUGCGUGAGUAGGCCGCUCAGGUUCGCCGCGCCGCCGAUGGGAUCUCUCGCCCGCAACCCAUGAUCGUCGUGUCGGAUGCGGCCCCGAGACCACCGUCCAUCGCUGUCGCCGAGGCACUGUAAUGUAACACUGUGUGUUAUGUGUACUCCCUCCAUCCAAAAAAGCUUGUUCCAAACUUGUACCUCAAAUGGAUGUAUCUAGCACUAACUUGGUGCUAGAUGCAUCCUUUUGAGGGACAAAUUUUUUCGGACGCAGGGAGUAGCUGUUAACUCUUAAUCAUGUUCGGUGUAUGCAACCAAACAAUAUGCACUAGUAUGAGCACAACCAAUGCAAGCAACCAAACAUAGUGCACAGAAGCGUUUCUACGAUGCAGGAAGAGGGGAUGCAGGCAAUCAAUAAACAUGCGGAUAAUUAUUUUUUGUCUGCAUAUACUCAAUCAGGCCCAACCAAGACAAGUACGCGGGCAACCAAACGUGCCCUAGAAUUCGGAGCGGAUUGAACACACACUUAGUGGACGAUGAAGAUGAACACAUCAUAGUUUGGUCCAUUGCUUCCGAUACUUCACCGUGUGCGUGUCCGUAGCACAACGACGUACUACGUGGAAGAAGAAUUUAUCUACGCGUGAAAAUGACCUUAAACUAAACUAUCUAUGGUGUGGAAGAUAAUUUCAGUCACUUGCCAAGUGGUUUACAAUCUUUAAAUUCGUUAAUAGUUUUUGAACUUCACAAAAAAAAUUGAAUUGAUGAGCAUUUUUUAUGCAGAGCAAAAGCUGGCGCAGCUAGAGUAUUCUGGUUUUAGUUAGUCUUUUAUGAGAUCAGAUCGGUUUCUUUUGAAAAAGAUAAGCAUGAGCUCGGCUCAGAAAUGGAAGAUAUUGCAGUUCAGAUCGGAUCGGUCGACAACGUGCUGCAGGCUGCAGGAGGCAGAAGAAUACUCUAUCGAGAGUCCCAUCACGCAGCUUCUUUUACGUGCCCUCACCUCAGUAACUGUUAAUUUUCAGUUCAUAAACCAUGCUAAAAAGUACAGAAGAUUACAUUUUCCCCCACCAUCGCUCCAAAUAUUUCACCGCGUGCGUGUCCGCAGCACGGCGACGUGCUACGUGUAAGAACAGAUUGAUCUAGGCGUGACCUGACCUUAAACUAAACUAAUCUAUGAGGUGGAAGAUAAAUUCAGGCACUUGCCAAGUGGUUUACACUUUUACACGCGCACAGGAAAAACGUCGCCUUCGGACACACACAUGCGACGUCGCGGGCCCUGCGGUGACCGGCGAGCUUAUAAAACGGGGAGCGCGCCCCCGAGAAGGCCAGGACUCCCGACGACAUCCACCGGCAACCACCGCUCCUGAUCUCUCAGCUCCGCUCCGUCGAGAAACCAGCCAAGAGUAGUCCGACACCCAGGCCACCAUGGCGAACCCAUCCGCCUCCGCCUCGACCUCGAGGGCGUCGUGCGGGGCUACCAGCACCGCCAAUCUCACCUGCCUCUGCUCGCCGACCAACCACCCGGGCUCUUUCCGCUGCACUCGCCACCGCAACCCGCGGGGGCGACCGCAGCCGUCGCCGCCGUCGUCGUCAGGCCGCGUGUCGCAUCAGUCGGCGACUUCGUGCGCGAGCGCGACGGUGCGCGCCGAGGGGAUCAUCAGAAGCGGCGGCGUCGGCACCGGCGGCAGGACCACCAAGGACCGGUCUGUCCUGCGCGCGCACCUGCUGCGGCUGGUGAGCGCGCCGUCCUCCGCCGGCCGCGACCACCGUCGCUGCCGGGACUUCAUGCCCCGCCCGUCAAGGCUGGGCCGCCUCGCGGUGACCGCGUGACCCGGCUGCUCUGCUUCGCGGCUCGUACUAGGGAGCUCACUAGCAGAGUAGCAGUGGCGGACGGUGCGCCUCUAUUUCGCGCGCGCCAACGCAUGGAUGAUGGAUCCGUCGUGGCUAGCACGUAGCUAGGAUCGGGUACUACUCUGGAGAAUGGAACUCUUUUUAGUACUGUGAUGAACUGGUGAUGGUGCUGAUAAUUACUAGUACUACUAGUACUCUGGAUCUGUGAUCUGUACACACUUCCUUGUAAUUUUUGCCGAGGAAUCAAAUGGAGCAGUUUUUUGUGACCUUCCUGCAUAUUUUUGCUGUUCCAUGGAUUUACACUAUGGGCGGACGCGAACUGUAGAAAUUUUCAUUUCUUUUACUAUAAGAUUUCUCACUUGGUUUUGUGCCUAUGGGUAUUGAGAUCACCUUAGUUAUCGGAAUUCCGCUUAAAAUAUUAU
rnacentral:lncRNA from 1 species